GUUUCCCCGAGGUGGCCCCGCAGGUUGCUCGGUUCGGACCAACACUCGAAGGAGCACUGGCCCGGGGGGGGGGGGCUAAAAUAAAGAUGACCCUCGGGCUCGCGAAAACCCAAGGGAAAAAGGGUAUAGGUGGCAAAUGGUAAAACCAAGGUUGGGCCUUGCUGGAGGAGUUUUAUUCAAAGCGAACUGUCAAGGGGGUCCCAUAAAUCACCCAACCGCGUAAGGAACGCAAAAUCAAGGAACAUAACACCGGUAUGACGGAAACUAGGGCGGCAAGAGUGGAACAAGUCACCAGGCAUAAGGCCGAGCCUUCCACCCUUUACCAAAUAUAUAAGGUGCAUUAAUUAAACAGGAGAUAUUGUGAUAUUCCAAAAUAUCCAUGUUCCGACCAGGAACAAACUUCAUCUUCACCUGCAACUAGCAACGCUAUAAGAGGGGCUGAGCAAAAGCGGUGACAUAGCCAAUCAACGGUUUGCUAGGACAGGAUGGUUAGAGGUUUGACAUGGCAAUAGGAAGGCAUGAUAAACAAUGGCAGGUAGGGCUAACAUAGCGAAAGAGCGAAUAGCUAGCAAAGCAAAGAUAGAAGUGAUAUCGAAGGUAUGGUCAUCUUGCCUGCAAAGUUCUCAGAGUUGUCGAAGGCUUGAUCCUCGUAAACGUUCUCAACAGGUUCCUCGUUCACGUACUCGUCUCCCGGCUCUACCAAAAGCAAGAACACAAGCAAAGGAACCACAAUAAAUCACGGUGCAAUGCACAAGCAACAUGAUGCAAAACAUGACAUGAUAUGCGAGAUGCGAUAUGCAAUGCAUAUGCGUGCUCCGGAAGGGAAAUGAUGAACAAGGCAUCAACUUGGCAAACCAAGUAUGCUGCUGGAAAGAUGAGAUGAUUUCGGUUGAAAUCGAUAUGAAGAUCACCGGAAACGGAUGCAUGGUUGAAUGGCAAGCAAAACAAUAAGGGCACAAAUCUGCGAUUAACAGCACGAUGCUACUUAGCAUGCAACAAGAAACUAUGCUACAGCACCCCAACAUACAAAUAAAGCCUAUGGCAGUGAUCUACAGGAGAUUCUUAACAAAAGAGGAACACUGAGCUACGGCUAAAUCACAUCAUAACAGGUCCAAACAAGCAUGGUGAAAGUGCAAAAAAUAUCAGGCUGGACAUGGCAUAAACAGCAUCAGGAAGCAAUGUUCAGAGCAAGUUAUCAACAAGCUACAGGAACAUAUAAUAGCAAAACAAGGCAUGGCAUGAAUCUACUCAAAGCAUAGAUCAAAAGUCCCUUACUGACCAUAAGCCAAAAAGGACCAGAAGAAAUAAUGGCAUGCAUGUAAACAUAGCAAGUUUCGUUAUCAGAUUCAGCAAACAGGGCAUGGCAUUUACAGAAUUACGAAGGCACCUUCGUGAGCUCGAUGCACUCACUACAGAGCACCUAAUGAUAAACUAAGCAUACAUCCAUCAAGAAGACAUGGCAUAGAAGCUAUACAUGGCAAGAACAACAUCAUAGCAUACAUGGAUCGACUACAACAACCUCGUAAAAAUUGAAUAUCAUGUAAGCAAUCUGCCAGGAAACAUUUUGUAGCAAAAGUAGAGCACAAAAAAGACAUGCUAGAUUACUCCAUAAUUCCAAACAGUGGCAUGAAUGGAUAGAGCAUAACCAUAUGUUCAAAACACCCUUACUGAAGUAUCUCUAAAUAUGCAUGGAUCUCUCUGUAGCAACAUGUUUACAUGGCAUCACAAUAACAGCAGAACAGGGACUAAAAUCAGCAAUAUCACGAAGCCUAGUUUGCAUGCUUGUGCUAGUCACCACAUUGAUCACAAAAAUACAUGGCAUACACCCCUGUAAAGCUGGCAUGACAUAGAUCAAAGCAUAUGUAGGGCUCAAGUUCAUAAGAUGCACACAUUAAUCAUGGCAAAAAUGACAAAAGUGCAAGUUCUGUUAAGAAACAGAAACUAACAUCACAUAGCCCUCUUCCAACAGCAUUUCGGGCAUCAAGAUGAGCUCAAAUGUAAAUGAUGCAAUUGAAUGAAAUGAUGUACUCUUCGAGGCGAACAAUUUGGUAUGCUACACGCCCAAAACGGAGCCACGAGUGCAGAGUUAUGACGCGAUGAAAAUGCAACAAAAUAUCUGACNNNNNNNNNNNNNNNNNNNNNNNNNNNNNNNNNNNNNNNNNNNNNNNNNNNNNNNNNNNNNNNNNNNNNNNNNNNNNNNNNNNNNNNNNNNNNNNNNNNNNNNNNNNNNNNNNNNNNNNNNNNNNNNNNNNNNNNNNNNNNNNNNNNNNNNNNNNNNNNNNNNNNNNNNNNNNNNNNNNNNNNNNNNNNNNNNNNNNNNNNNNNNNNNNNNNNNNNNNNNNNNNNNNNNNNNNNNNNNNNNNNNNNNNNNNNNNNNNNNNNNNNNNNNNNNNNNNNNNNNNNNNNNNNNNNNNNNNNNNNNNNNNNNNNNNNNNNNNNNNNNNNNNNNNNNNNNNNNNNNNNNNNNNNNNNNNNNNNNNNNNNNNNNNNNNNNNNNNNNNNNNNNNNNNNNNNNNNNNNNNNNNNNNNNNNNNNNNNNNNNNNNNNNNNNNNNNNNNNNNNNNNNNNNNNGCCUCGCGGGCCUGGCGCGGCCGGCGGCGAAGUGGGGCGCGGCCCACCACGUGGCGCGGCCUGAUUCGUCCGGCGGCGCGGGCGGACGUGUCCGGCCGUCCGGAUUUCGUCCGGCGGCGCGAGGGGAGCGGGGAGACUAGGGUUUCGUCCGGAUUUCGAGGAAGGGAUCUAUAUUUAUAGGUAGAGGGAGCUAGGAGUUUCCAAAUGAGGUGCGGUUUUCGCCCACACGAUCGUGAUCGAACGACCGAGAGCAUGGAGGUGAGUUAGAUGGGUUUUGGGCCACUUUGGAAAGGGUGUUGGGCUGCAACUUAAAAGAGGUCUUUGCGAGAGUGCGGUUAACCGUUGGAGUACCAAACGACCUCCAAAUGACCCGAAACUUGACAGGUGGUCUACCGAUGGUGUACCAAGGCCACUUGGCAAGGCUCAGCCCAUUCCGAGAACGUUAAACACCCGCACACGAAAAGAGACAAGAAGGGUGCGCCGGUGCAAGUGGGAGUGUCGGAAUGCAAAACGGACAACGGGGAAAAUGCUCGGAUGCAUGAGACGAACACGUAUGCAAAAUGAAAUGCGCAUGAUGACAUGAUAUGAUAUGCAUGACAUGAACAAAAUGCAAAACGAAAAACAAAACCCAACCACGGAGGGAAUAUCAUAGCACAUAGCCGAAAAUGGCAAGAGUUGGAGUUACAAAGAUGGAAAGUUACAUCCGGGGUGUUACAUUGACUAUAUAAUGUAAGGUGACAUGUAGAAUGCCUUCUAGCCGGAUUGUAGAUCGUUUGUCGUAGCGGACCUUUUCGCUUCAACCUCUGGACCCAAUAUUCCGGAGUGUGUCCGAAUACCCUCGCGGUUAUAAAAACCGGGGCAUGCGUGGAGACCAGGCGUAGGGGUCAUUAGUGCUUUAUCAGACAAGUGCCCAACUAGUUAUGUUAUAUUACAUGGUUAGUAAGAAACAUCUUCCAGGGAGAAUAGUUCCGUUAGGGGUUCCUUUCCCUGGGAGGCAUGCCCUAAAGUGCAUGUCCGGACUGUGAAAAGAGCAGAAAAACAUCUGGGGGCAGCUAAAUAAAUAGGUAAGAAAUCAUCUUUUAGUUCACCGACCGAGUAUUCCCUUAAGAACGCUAGCUUUCGGCUUCACCCAAUCUGAGGUACACAUCCGGCUGACCCGGCAGUAACAAUCGCAGAGGUGCUCCCUUUACCACCUAGCCGAACAAUCGGGAACGUAGGGGUAAGCACAGGAGCCAGGCAACCCAGCUUGGCCAAAACUUAAGUCAUAUCGAUGCAUAUAAUGGUGAAUAAAAGGUACAUGCGAAAGUGUGACACAUGUGUUGGGCAUAAAGCCCGAAUUAAUAAGCUUCUGUUAAAGAAGCCCCCAGGUAUAAUGAGCGCGGGUAGCGCGUUAAGUGUGUGCGAACAAAGUUUCGACAAGGAAGAUUUUCACAAGCAACUUUUUUCCGAGAAAGUAUAAUGCUUGGUCGAACCGAACACAAGUUAGAAAUUUUAAAACUUUGAGCAUGAAGGCAACUUAGCUGGUUAAUGUGUUCGGUAUUGACGAUGCGGUCCGAGCUUGAUGCAGGACAAGGUUCCAUCCCCCAAGCCGGUCCCGAGGUGGCGGAGCAAGGAGCUCGGCACUCCGAAGCGGUGACGUAGCACGGUCAAUGCAGGACGGCAGAGUGAUGCCGAAGUCCCCGGCAUGGGGUAAUGAAGUGUUGACGAAGCCCCCCAUCCAGUCGAGGUGACGUCAAAGGAUAUAGUCCGGCUGAAUCAUUUUCCUGUGCACAAAAAAUAGUGCAGACCGGGGAUAAUAGUAAUAAUAGGAAUUAAAAAAAUGUGUUGCAUAAUAAAUAAUUUAUGCAAAGUGAGUAGUAAAAGAAAUAUGGCCUGGCGCCGGAGUCGAUGUCGAUGCAGGUCGUCGGUGUAAUGCAAUAAAGGCGUGGCAAAGCCUGGAUUCACUGGUUGGUCCGAGUUCCGGAUGCGACGUUCGCCGAACUGUGUACGGAAACUGAUCGAACCAUCAUGCGACCGUCGAUAAUGCGGCCACCAUUUUAUAGACCUGUGUACAUAUGCAGGACUAACCAGAGUAAUAAAUCCUUGGGAAAAAUUUAACCCAAACGAGCAAAAAGAAAUACUAGGAUUAAUAGCACCUGGUUUAUUUGUUAUAGCAAUCCGAAGGAAGGUGAUUCCCAAAAUUGGGGCUCGAUCCACGCACCCAUGCCUGGUCGGCUAGUGACGCCGAAGUGUCCGGAGUAGGUUGAUGAAGGGAUGGCGAAGCCCCCGGUCCAGCCGAGAUGUCGAAGUAGGUCGGCGUGAUGGACACCAGCUUGAAGAAGCAAUAGUGCGGCCCUGCCGAUGCAGGUCGUGACGUGGUCGAUGCCGGCUUGAUGAAGCGACCAUGCGACGAUGCCGGUAUGCCCGCUCCGUGUAAUCCGUGGGGCGGCGAUGUUGGUGAUGAUUUAUCCUUCGCGAUGCCGGACUCUUGUUCGGCUUGCCAAGAUGAUGAUCCGAAGAAGUUGAGCUUGGCUCAACAAAGUGACGACGUGUCUAGCGCAGGUCGGCAGCCGUGGAGCAAUAUUGCCGGACUGGUUUGACACCAGCAUGAUGUUGAAGAUCAUGUUCAAAAGAUCUUAAAGUUAGUGGGAUGUGUUCGGGAACAAAACACAAUACCCCAUACAAAACUUCCUUCGAAAAGGAUGUCCGAAAUCCCGUUCAUAAAAAAGACGAACUCGGGUCGAAUUCAUUUUCGUGCAGAAAACAGAUCCAAAAAGUUAUGCACUAAUCAGAAGUUUCCCGGAGUUUGGACGGUCGGAUCGAGCUGAAUUUUUGGCAGGUGGUAGGGAAUUCCGUAGCAAAUCAACGGUUGGAUCCUCCAAAGGACAUCCGAGCUAGACGCUGGAUACCACGCCCUAAACUCGUCCGGAUUUUCGUCCAGAUUCAACAGGGCUCCGGUAUAUCGGAGAUUGCCGGAGAUUCCUCCAUCGGAACUCGACGAAAUUUUUGCAGGGUUGUUGUAGAUUUAAUUCCGCAUAAUUCCACCUAAGUAAUCGUUUAGGCGACACUCGAGGAGGCGGUGGCGGCGGAUACAAGUUUGCUGUCCAGAAAAACAGCUCGGUCGCCUGAGGGCAAUGUUGACGUUGAGCCCCCGAGCUCCAAGGAUGACUCCUCCAUGAUCUUGAUAGAGAUCGGAGUUGAUGUUGAUGAAGGCCCUCAUCCAAACAUGACGAUCAGAGGUAGGGCGCAGUCCUCGGUUAAGCCAAGGUGACCAGUCGAGCUGGUGACGAAGAAACCAACGUCGCAGUUGACCUGCAGUCGAGCCAUUGAUCCUUUUGCCGAUCACACAGCGGAACUCUCAAUGAGAGCACCAAUGUCGGUGUCAAAACCGGCGGAUCUCGGGUAGGGGGUCCCGAACUGCGCGUCUUAGGGUCAAUGGUAACAGGAGGCAAGGGACACGAUGUUUUACCCAGGUUCGGGCCCUCUUGAUGGCGGUAAAACCCUACGUCCUGCUUGAUUGAUAUUGAUAUUGUGGGUAUUACAAGAGUAGAUCUACCACGAGAUCAAGGAGGCUAAACCCUAGAAGCUAGCCUAUGGUAUGAUUGUUGUAAUGGUUGUUGUUGUAUAUAUCUCUAUCGACUAGCCUAGCCUCGGUUUAUAUAAUGCACCGGAGGCCUAGGAUAACAUGAGUCCUAGCCGAAUACGCCGGUGGGGGAGAAGUCCUUGUCUUGAUCGCCAAGUCUUGUAGAAUCUUCCUUGUAUGCGGCAACUGUCCAGACUGGCCCAUGAGUAUACGGCCAUGGGGAUCCUCGGCCCAAUCCACCUGACCGGGAGACGACGUGGUGAGUACCCCCUAGUCCAGGACACCGUCAGACGCCCCUGUCUUCCUCCAGCUGAGGGCUCCGCGGACGCCAACUUAGGCGUUUCUUCAUAGGAGCGUCACUAAACUCAGGGAGACCGAUCCGAAUUGGGUCCAGCAAUGGAGCGUCCUCUAUAUAAAACCAUUCUGAAGGCCAGUCUUCGGACGCCUUCCUAGGGGUUCCGGAUAGAUAUCCGGUCCCGGCGAUGCGCCAUAUUUCGGCGCCGCCCACUUGAUAUAUUGACCCCUCGUAAGAACGGGGUACAAGGCAGAAUAGCCUCUUCCACAGCGCAAAAUGGGGCUCGACGCCCAGGAAUAGCUCGCAAAGAGCUACGAAACCCGCGAUAUGCAGAAUGGAGGCGAGCGUUAGGUGAUGAAGCUGGAGUCCGUAGAACUCCAGGAGCCCGCGGAGGAACGGAUGUACAGGAAAUCCGAGCCCCCUUAUUAGAUAAGGGAUGAAGCAUACCCGCUCCCCUUUAGAGGGACUAGGGGUGGCCUCCGCUUGCUUUCCACCUUUGUAGGUGGCCAGCCUGGCUCGAACUGGGACCAUAAAGGCCGGAGGAAUAUAUCCCUCCGCUUGGAGCGUCACCAGCUCGCUGUGCGGAACAGAGCAUCUCGUCCAAUCUCCUGGCAAAGGACUGGGAACGCGAGAAGAGGAGCCGCGUCGAUGGUCCAUGAUGGAAUGGAUUUUUUGUCAAGAAGCGCUCCGAUGAGUACUCGCGGGAGGAAGAUGGUGUGAUUUGAAUCUGGAUUCCUGCCUCUCUUAUAGGCAGGUUAUUUACGCAGCUAGGGGGUAAAAUAUAAAAGAUACCCUGGCUUUUCACAUUCGUGCGACGCGUGGAAGAAGGCCAUUAUUGGGUGUGGGAGCCAAGAAGCGCAACAUUGAUGAGGAAGUCGGACACUAUUCGGCAGGUACAUGGAACUUAAAGGAGAACCCGCCUUGCAAUGCCGAAGACUACACACAUGCUGGAAUUAUCGUCAUUGAAGCCUAGUUCGGGGGCUACUGAGGGAGUCCUGGACUAGGGGGUGUCCGGAUAGCCGGACUACCAUCAUCGGCCGAACUAUCAUCGGCCGGACUAUCAUCAUCGACCGGACUCCAAGACUAUGAAGAUACAAGAUUGAAGACUUCGUCCCGUGUCCGGAUGGGACUUUCCUUGGCGUGGAAGGCAAGCUUGGCGAUACGGAUAUGUAGAUCUCCUACCAUUGUAACGGACUCUAUGUAACCCUAGCCCUCUCCGGUGUCUAUAUAAACCGGAUGGCUCUAGUCCGUAGGACACAACAACAACCAUUACAAUCAUACCAUAGGCUAGCUUCUAGGGUUUAGCCUCCUUGAUCUCGUGGUAGAUCCACUCUUGUAAUACCCACAAUAUCAAUAUCAAUCAAGCAGGACGUAGGGUUUUACCUCCAUCAAGAGGGCCCGAACAUGGGUAAAACAUCGUGUCCCUCGUCUCCUGUUACCAUCCGCCUAGACGCACAGUUCGGGACCCCCUACCCGAGAUCCGCCGGUUUUGACACCGACAACCACUCUAAGUACUGUUGCAAACCAAUUCAUAUUUUGUUUUGCAUUGUGUCUACUGUAAUAUAACUUUUCCAUGCCUUAAUCCACUGAUAUAAAUUGAUAGAUUCAUCAAAACAAGCAAACUAUGCAUCAAAAACAGAAUCUGUAAAAAACAGAACAGUCUAUAGCAAUAUGAACAUCCACCAUACUUCUGGUACCCCAAAAAUUCUACCAAAAUUAGGAAAAAAAACAAGUUGUAUAGCAAGACAGUGCAAAAGGAAUCAGAACCAAUUGACGUUCCAGUUAAAAAAUUUAAAAUCGCGCACUACGGCCAAAGUUUCUGUCCUGCACCGUACAAACCAACAAGCAUUGUAAACAUCCUAAAGGCAAACCUUGGCACAUUAUUUUUAUAAUACAAUGGAAUUGUACUGGGGGAUAAUUAUUUUUGAUGAAAAGUUUCUGUAAUCAAGAUUCACAAAGUUUCCGUGAGCAUGAACAAAGUUCAAGGAGCUCUCCCACUUCAACAAUGCUUGUCUUUGUCACUUUCACUUUCCUUUUUGAAAAGUUUUUUAGGUUCCCCUCUUUAUUUUUGUGUUUUUAAACUAUAUGAAAGCGCUCAACAGAAAUAAAUGAAUCUCUAAAACUUCUGGGUUGUCUCCCUAGCAGCGCUUUCUUUAAAGCCAUUAAGCUAGGCAUUUAGUGCUCAAGUAAUGAAUUCACCCGGAUCCCAAAGUAUAUCAAAGCCAAUUUUAAUUAACAAUGAUUUGUAAUUUAGUAGUGAGCACAAAGUAACAUAUAUCAAGCAACAAUGAAGUCUAACUCUUUUCCUAUGCAUCGGCAUGUCAUAAAAGAACAAUUCAUGCACACAUAGUAAAGGCCAAUGCAUAGUAUAAACAUUUUCUUGCAAUUUUAUCGUGUUGGAAACAUAGAGAGGUGGAGAUAUAGUUCCUCUCUCAUAAUAAUUGCAAGUAGGAGCAGCAAGCACAUGCAUAUUAUGUUCAUCAAAAUCAUCAUGUGUAGUAGUAAAAGGCAACCCAUCAAUAUAAUCUUUAAUAAGUGCAAGCUUCUCCGAUAUAGUGUAGUCGGGAGAAUUCAAAAAGAUAAUAGGACUAUCAUGCGUGGGUGCAAUAGCAACAAUUUCAUUCAUAACAUAAGGAAUUAUAGCAAGUUCAUCUCCAUAAGCAUAAUUCAUAUUGGCAUCUUGGCCACAAGCAUAGCAAGCAUCAUGAAAAAGGGACAUUUCAAACAAAUUCAAGGGAUCAUAGCAAUCAUCCUUCGGUAAGCACAAAGGGGAAUUAAAUAAUGUAUGAGUUUAAGAGUUACUCUCAUUAGAAGGUGGGCACGGGUGAUCAAUCCGCUCUUCCUCCUUUUGUUCUUCGCUCUCCUCAUCAUCUUUUUCAUCCAAUGAGCUCACAGUUUCAUCAAUUUCCUCUUCCAUAGGCUCCUGCAAAAUAUUAGUCUCUUCUAGGACAACGGAGAAUUUCUCAAUAUAUAGUUUAACAUAGGCAUUAGAAGCAUAAUUAUCAUAGCAAUAUUUAAGUAUGGCAAAAUUUUCAGAUUCGUAAAGAGUAGUACCAUACUUUUCAAUCAAAGAAGCAAUUUCAAAAGCACCCUUAAAAGCAACAAAUUCUUCAAUUUGUUGAACAUCAUAGUAACUAUAAACACCCUUAGCAUACGAAGAUAAGAUCACAUUAUCAAUAAACUCACAUUGGUAGGGAAGGUGUUUUUUAGGGUUUUCAGAACAACAAGUAAAAUCAUAUUCCAACAUAAAUUCCAAGCAUAGCAUUGUAAACGUUGAAUUUGACCCCAUAAUAGUUUCCCUUUUUCAGAUAUACGGUGUCGCACAUAACAAGCAUGCUCAUCUAAAGAUUUGCCCUCAACUAAGCUAGUUGGGGUUUCAGCACGAGCACAUAGGGUUCGAAGAUGAUCCAAGUAAUAAGCUUCAGCAGUGUGAUAGAUUUCGAGUGGUUCUUCAACCACUGGUUCCGCAGGUACAACUAUUUUUUUGGUAUUUUGCAUUUCCUACCCAUAACUAAAGAUAGAAAACAACUAAGAACAGCAAAUAAAAAUUACUUAGUGAUAAAGCAAAAAAGCACACAUGAGAAUAUUCACCCCACGCUAUUGCUCCCCGGCAACGGUGCUAGAAAAAGGUCUUGAUAACCCACAAGUAUAGGGGAUCGCAACAGUUUUCGAUAAGUAAGUGUGUUGAACCCAAAGAGGAGCUAAAGGUAGAAUAAAUAUUCCCUCAAGUUCUAUCGACCGCCGAUACAACUCUACGCACGCUUGACGUUUGCUUUACCUAGAACAAGUAUGAAACUAGAAGUAUUUUGUAGGUGUUUUCGGGUAAGCUUGCAAGAAAGUAAAGAACACGUAAAUAUAAACUAGGGGUUGUUUAGAUAAAGACACAACUAAAUUAGUAAAAGUAAAGAGCUUGUUGUCACGAGAAAGUUAUUUGUCCCUAGGCAAUCAAUAACUAGACCGGUAAUCAUUAUUGCAAUUUUAUUUGAGGGAGAGGCAUAAGCUAACAUACUUUCUAUACUUGGAUCAUAUGAACUUAUGAUUGGAACUCUAGCAAGCAUCCGCAACUACCAAAGAUUCAUUAAGGUAAAACCCAACCAUAGCAUUAAAGCAUCAAGUCCCCUUUAUCCCAUACGCAACAAUCCCUCUUACUCGGGUUUGUGUUUCAGUCACUCACCAACCCACUAUAAGCAAAUCAUGAACGUAUUGAAACACCCUACAAAGGGAAUCCCUCAUGCUUGUGCGAAACGGAGGGCACCAUAGGACAACACCAAUAAUAAAACAUACAACUCAAACCAAUCACGAUCAUCAAAUAGCCAUUAGGACAAAACAGAUCUACUCAAACAUCAUAGGAUAGCCAUACAUCAUUGGGAAAUAAUAUAUAGCGUUGAGCACCAUGUUUAAGUAGAUAUUACAGCAGGUAAGAGAGAGGUUACACCGCUGCAUAGAGGGAGGAAGAGUUGGUGGAUAUGUUGGUGAAGAUGGCGGCGGUGUUGGUGAAGAUCGCAGUGAUGAUGAUGGCCCCCGGCGGCGUUCCGGCGCCACCGGAAGCAAGGGGGAGAGGGCCCCCCUUCUUCUUCUUCUUCUUCCUUGACCUUCUCCCUAGAUGGGAGAAGGGUUUCCCCUCUGGUCCUUGGCUCCCAUGGAUUGGGAGGGGCGAGAGCCCCUCCGAGAUUGGAUCUAUCUCUUUGUUUCUGCGUUCUCUGCGUUGGCAGAUUCAACCCCUUCACCGUUUCUUUUAUAUCCGGAGAUCCGUAACUCCGAUUGGGGUGAAUCUUUCGCUCAGAUCUUCCUUGUAAAAUUAUCUUUCUUGCGCUACAAGGAGAGCAUCAACCGCCUUUCGGGUGGACCACGAGGGUCAGGGGCGCGCCUAGAGGGGUAGGGCGCGCCCCCUACCUCGUGCCCACCUCGGAUACCAUUUCGUGUUGAUUUUACUUCCCAAAAAUCAUAAAUAUUCCAAAAAAAAUAUCCGUCUGUUUUUUCCCCGUUUGGACUCUGUUUGAUAUUGGGUUUCUGCGAAACAAAAAACAUGCAACAGACAGGAACUGGCACUGGGCACUAGAUCAAUAUGUUAGUCCCAAAAAUAAUAUAAAAAGUUGCCAAAAAGUAUAUGAAAGUGAAUAAUAUUGGCAUGGAACAAUCAAAAAUUAUAGAUACGACGGAGACAUAUCAUGCUGUUGUAGAAGUGUUCCAUGACAUUACCAAAAUUAUCAUCACGGAAGUGUCCACUUCCAUGACGAUAAAUCGCGCGUCAUAGAAGUGCUUUCGUCAAGGGUGACCGACACAUGGCAUCCACCGUAACGGAACACCGUUAAGCUAUCGUGUCAGGUUUUGGAUCCGAUAACCCGUUAACAACCCCGACCAAUGGGGAUUUUCUAUGUGUAAAAUCAUCAUUGGCUGGAGGAAACACGUGUCGGCUCAUCGUUGGGACAGAUGUCAUCCACUCAUUGACAGAAGGCACCUAUGAUACAUCGACACGUGGCACGGCCCAAUAGAGGCCCAUUCCUGUGAAAAGGUCGGCCCGUUUGACUUGGUCAAAAGAUGGUGGGCCGGCCCAUGUAAAGCCUGUUAACGGCCUGUUCGCAUAUAGCCCAUUUACAGCCCGCUAACCCAAGGCCCGUUACGCCCUAUCCGAAUUAGGCCCAGUAGCGUCAUCUGGGCCAUCCAAUAUGAUUCCAGCCCGUUUUUACUUCUGGCCCAUGACGUCUUUCGGCUCAUAUGAGGCCCCAUGUAACUCUUGGCCUAUUAAUGGCCCAUGGUGAAACUGGCCCGUAAUGAACAAUGUAUCACUUUACACCCAUUAACGGCCCGUGGUGAAACUAGCCCGUAAUGAACAGUGUAUCACUUUAUACCCAUUAACGGCCUGUUAUUCCGUUGGGCCAUUUCCAACCCAUGUUAUCUUUUGGCCUUCUCAGAGCCCAUUUAUUCUUGGGCUCAUUUCCAGCAUUCGUUUACUUACGGCCCGUUACUAUCAUUUUCUGCUUGUGGGCCAAAUUCAGCCCGUGGUUACAGUCGGCCCAUUUGUGGUCCGUUAAUACGCUGGGCCAUUUCCAUAGCGUCAUCAAAUACAGCCUAUUAACGAUGGCCCGUUAUGGUCGGCCCAUGAACGGAUGAUUCCAACUCUAGCCCGUUUACGACCAUAUUGCGGCCUGUUAUUGGCCCAUGUUUGGCCAAUCGAUCAUACGACCCGUAGAAGGCCCAUUGUUUCUACGGCCCAUAGAAGGCCCAUGUUUCUACGACCCGUAGAAGGCCCACUGUUUCUACGGCCCGUAGAGGCCCCACUGUUUCUACGGCCCAUAGGAGGCCCAGUGUCACUACAGUAAAUAUUAGCCCAUGGUUAUUGUGGCCUAGUUUUAAAAAAUAGGUUAUUGCAGCCACUAGCAAACCGCGGAAAAAGAACUGCUAUGACUCCAAGCAAACAAAUAAACAAGACAACAAGGAAAUAAAUAAGCAAGCAACUUAUGCUAGGCUAUCACGGCUAUCACGCAUAUUACAUCCACUGGGCAUCAAAGUUCGCCACCAGUGCAAAUAAACGUGCCGACAAAAGAAUAUACAAAACUGAGAGCACUUCAGAAGGCACUAGGCCUGGCCAGGUUGGCCCCCCCAAACAGCUGAAGAAGCUGAGUAGACCUCAGUUGUGUCAACGAUAGAUGCAUCAACACUAGAUUUAAGGCAUGAUGGUGUGCACGGCAGUCCUCUGACAUCUUCAUUGCAUCUUUGACUUCAAGUUGGAGCUGAGCUAAAGCAAGCCUUUCCACUUUAAGUUGAGACUGAAGAAGUUGAACUGAUUGAGGCAGCAACUGCACAAAGGUUGUCUUACACCUGCUGGUGAGUAGCUUCAACUCACUGUCUUCAUCAAGACAGGACCUUGGGGUCAUCUUGCUGUCCUCAAGAUGGUUUGGCUCACUAUCUUCCCUAAAGUUCUACCCGGCGUAAGAGAUACGACUCUGAAAGAUAAACAAGGAGACACGUAACAGGUUUCACAAUUAUAUAAGCAAAUAAAUGGAUCUGUUCUGCAUAAGGAACAUGUUUUUACAACUACAAUUUGAAACUGGUAGUUGUUGCAAACAUCCAAUCAGAUGUAAACAGCAAAGCAAACAGCAGUGGAGGAAAUGAUGCCUAUCCAAAUCUAUACUAGAACAAAGUUUGAAGGCUUGAGAAGGAUGAACUUACAUUACAUGUUAACACGGGCUGGACAAAGCCCUUCUCCAUGUUGAUGGAAGGAUAAUUCAAUAAAUUCCCCAAAGAAAAUUCUUUAUAAGCGUUGCCAUUAUUCUACAUUUUGCAAAGAGUAAAUAUAGAUCAAAUAAUAUUGGAAGAAAUAGAGGAUAAUAGAGCUCAGGUGCAAACUGAUGAUACAUAAUCAAAUAGCAAUUAAUUAAGUACAACGUUACAAGGCAAAAGGGAGAGAGGUACUGACAAGAGCAAUGCAGAGCCCAUUAUUGUUUUGAGAUCGUAUGAUCCUUUGAGCAAGGAGAUUCAUCUGAAAUUAGUUUUCAUACAAGAGAGAAGGUAAGGCACAAGCAGAAAUUUAGGAGUUCAAAUUUUGAAUUGAUAUCAUAGACAGUACCUGACGCUGGGCUCCCAGCAGUUCUAAUAGGGGUUUGGCCACUGGAGUAGGGGUAAAGUGUGGUACAGUUGGGCCUGUGUUUUCUGUGGCUGCUGAUUUAUCUGAUUUAAUAGGUAUCACUACCUUUUCCAAAUAUCUAGUUUGUACUCCUUGAGGAUCUGCACUCACCCUCUUCCUUUUGGACAUCUAUUACGAAAGAACAACAUUUGACUGGAAAAACAUAGUGUGACGACACAUGGAAAAGGUACAGAAAAUGGAUAGGUAUGGCAUAUACUCAUAUAUGAUGCUUAAAUUAAGCAGAUGGUGUAACAAAGUCGACCCAUCAAGAAUCAAGCCUAGUAACACUACCUUUAAAGGCGUGAUACCGAGCAUGGAGGCUCGUUGCAUGGGCUCACUGACAUUGGAGGUAGUAUUCAGCUCCCCAGACAACUUCCAUAGCGAAGGAUUAAUCUUCGACAUUGUCCCUUUCCACAGUAGCUAUCACGCACUGCUCAGACGAACUACUUUUGCCCGCUUUAAUGCAGUCCCACACUACGCUUACUUGAAGCUUAAGAUGCAUGGACCUCGGGCGUUAUUACAGUCAAUGGAAAUAUGGGGCACUCCCUCCGUAAUGAAGAGCACACCACGGCCCUCACAGUCGAGGUGUAUGGCGGCCUUAUCAAGACGAACAUUUCAUCGGCCAAUAAAGCCAAUGAUGUAUCUAAACGAGUCCGGUCUGUGCAUAAUUGCGAUAAAUCAACGGACCCGGACCUUGAUUAGCAGUUCGGCCUCCGCUGAUUGCUCCAUUAGGUUGCGGCUUACAUACCGCGUGUACAUAACUACGCACUAAAAAUACCCUGGGCGGCGCCGAGGCACACUGCGGAAAGGGUCCAUAGUAUGGCUUGACCCCAUCUGCACUGCAUAUACCUUUUCCACUACAGGUUCAUCAAGAGCCCUAUUUGCUAUAUGAUUGUUUCAGGAGAUCCUUUUAAGGCUAGCGUUUCCUCACCAUCAAAUACUCCUAUCAAAGAACUUAUUACUAAGGAGAAAUGGCGCAGAUGUACGACAGGGCACCACUGGAGUUUUUGAACUAUUAUUUUUAGGCCCUGUGUUAAACUUUUUCUUUUUCUCUUUAGGCAUGUAACAUGACCUUAAUAUUAAAUUGCAUUGUCUGUCGAAGCAUGCCUCGACAUAUUAAUAAGGAUAUAAAGGAAGUAGAUGAUCAUCAACUUUUUGGGUUGGGUUUUUGUAUUAUCUUGCCAUCUGUGUUACCCCUUACAUUUGACUGACGUACGUGGUUCGGCACAGCCUUCAUAAUAGGGGCUGUAUUCGCCCCCGCAAACUCUUAAGUCCGAACACCUAUAGGGAACUCUUUGGCAUCCCAGAUAUUUCAUUAUAUGCAUCGGCUCCGAAUAAUGUCUUUGGUCUAUAGUUGGGUUGCCCGGCUCCUGUGUUUGCCACCUUACGUUCCGCAAGUUCAACUAAGGUAGUAAAGGAAGAACUACUGCGAUUGUAUUUCUGGUUCGUCCGGUUAAGUACCUCAGUAGAGAAAGCCGAAAACUGACUGUCAUGAUAUGCGAGAGCGGGUCAGCGAUCUGGUGACUUAGUGUUAUACUACAAAUCAUUCGCGAUUUCUGUCGUGUUAUACGAGGGGCUGGGCUUCGACCAGCCGCGUUGCAAAGGCGCCGUACUCCGAACCGUCGUUCACGCAACAGGGGGCUAGUACUUAGCACCACUAAUGGAAUAUUAAGACUAAGUGAAAGUACUAAAGCCGCAUAGUCUGAUUGCCUAGUUCACCUUGCAAGACGCCUCCUACAUUGGACCAAGACAUUGGAUAAAGUGCGAUCAUGCGUUCCCGAACAUCCUUGUAAUAUUUACAUGGGGGCGGAAGCAGACGACUGGCAAACUUUCAGACUUAUAAAUUAAAACGGCCAAACGGGAGGAUAAAAUAAUUAUAAAGCGCAAGCAUAAAUAUUUUACACCAUAAUUUUAUUACACAGUUCUUACAAGACGGACUGUACUAGUCAAAUAUGAUAUCUUUUGAGCAUUGGCCCUCUACGAUGCGGGCUCCCUCGAGGACCUCGCCGAAGUACUUCUCCGACCGCCGAUGAUCCUUGCUUUCAGGCGGCCCCGUGGUGGCAAUCUCGGUGGCCUUCAUCUUUGCCCAUUGUACCUUGACUCGGGCGAAGGCCAUCUGGGCACCUUCUAUGCAAGCCGACCGCUUGAUGGCGUCAACCCGAGGACAUGCCUCGACCAGCCGCUUCACAAGUCUGAAGCAGCUGCUGGGUAUGGGCUCGGCUAGCCAAAGAUCCUUCAUGGCUAGUCCGGCCACCCUGUGCAGCUCCGUCAGCUGCUUCAGCUGAUCACUGAGGGGAGUCGGAUACUUUGGCGCAAGGUAUUGCAACCAGAAUAGCUUCUCCGUUGAGCUCCCCUCUUCGGCACAAAAGAACUCAGCGGCGUCAGCUAUACUCCUUGGCAGAUCCGCAAAUGCGCCUGGAGAACUCCAAACCCGGGUCAACAAAAUGUAUCUCUUCUUUGUAAAUUUACUCUGCAUAAGAAAGGACUUACCAUCCGCUAUUUGCCUCGCCUCUUGGAUCUCCUGGCGAGCGCCCUGGGCCUCAACCUGGGCUUCUUUCGCACUUUCCAGCGCUUUGGUGAGCUCGGAGGCUUGUUCCGAACUCUUCUGCUCCAAGGACACGCACUUGGCGAUGGCGUCCUUGAGCUCCUGUUUGACCUCCCCCACCCAUGGCGGGUGGUUUGCUCCACCUCUAACUCCUUGGCCACUUUGUCAGCAGUCGCCUUGCUCACCUCCGCCUCCUUCUUGGCUUGGGCGAGGGCGCUUUUGAGGGACUCGACCUCGGCUGCUGAUACGUCUCCAACGUAUCUAUAAUUUUUUAUUGUUCCAUGCUAUUAUAUUACCCCUUUUGUAUGUUUAUGGGCUUUAUUUUACACAUUUAUAUCAUUUUUGGGACUAACCUACUAACGGAGGCCCAGCCCGUAUUGCUAUUUUUUUGCCAAUUUCAGUAUUUCGAAGAAAAGGAAUAUCAAACGGAGUCCAAACGGAAUGAAACCUUCGGGAGAGUGAUUUUUGGAAUGAACCUGAUCUGGAGAACUUGGAGUAUAAGUCAAGAAGCAAUCGAGGCGGUCAGGAGAUAGGAGGGCGCGCCCACUGAUACGUCUCCAACAUAUCUAUAAUUUUUGAUUGCUCCAUGCUACUUUAUCUAUUGUUUUGGACUAUAAUGGGCUUUAUUUUCCACUUCUAUAUUAUUUUUGGGACUAACCUAUUAACCGGAGGCCCAGCCCAGAAUUGCUGUUUUUGCCUAUUUCAGUAUUUCGAAGAAACAUAAUAUCAAACGGAGUCCAAACGGAAUGAAACCUUCGGGAACGUGAUCUUCUCACCGAACGUGAUCCAGGAGACAUGGACCCUACUCCAAGAAGCACCAGAGACGGUCACGAGGGUGGAGGGCGCGCCUCCCUGGGCGCGCCCCCUACCUCGUGGCCCCCCUGACGCUCCACCGACAUACUCCUUCCUCCUAUAUAUACCUACGUAUCCCCAAUAGACCAGAGACGGAGCCAAAAACCUAAUUCCACCGCCGCAACCUUCUGUAUCCACGAAAUCCCAUUUUGGGGCCUGUUCCGGAGCUCCGCCGGAGGGGGCAUCCACCACGGAGGGCUUCUACAUCAACACCAUAGCCCCUCCGAUGAAGUGUGAGUAGUUUACUUUAGACAUUCGGGUCCAUAGCUAGUAGCUAGAUGGCUUCUUCUCUCUUUUUGGAUCUCAAUACAAUGUUCUCCCCCUCUCUCAUGGAGAUCUAUUCGAUGUAAUCUUCUUUUUGCGGUGUGUUUGUUGAGAUCGAUGAAUUGUGGGUUUAUGAUCCAGCUUAUCUAUGAAUAAUAUUUGAAUCUUUUCUGAAUUCUUUUAUGUAUGAUUGAGUUAUCUUUGCAAGUCUCUUCGAAUUAUCCGUUUGGUUUGGCCAACUAGAUUGGUAGUUCUUGCAAUGGGAGAAGUGCAUGGCUUUGGGUUCAAUCUUGCGGUGUCCUUACUCAGUGACAAAAGGUGUUGCAAGGCACAUAUUGUAUUGUUGCCAUCAAGGAUAACAAGAUGCGGUAUUUAUCAUAUUGCAUGAAUUUAUUCCUCUACAUCAUGUCAUCUUGCUUAAGGCGUUACUCUGUUUUUAACUUAAUACUCUAGAUGCAUGCUGGAUAGCGGUCGAUGAGUGGAGUAAUAGUAGUAGAUGCAGAAUCGUUUCGAUCUACUUGUCACGGACGUGAUGCCUAUAUACAUGAUCAUACCUAGAUAACCUCAUAACUAUGCUCAAUUCUAUCAAUUGCUCAACAGUAAUUUGUUCACCCACCAUAGAAUAUCUAUGCUCUUGAGAGAAGCCACUAGUGAAACCUAUGGCCCCCGGGUCUAUUCUCAUCAUAUAAAUCUCCAUCACUUUAUUUACUUGCUUUGCUUUUACUUUUUACUUUGCAUCUUUAUACCAAAAAUACCAAAAAUAUUAUCUCUAUCAGAUCUCACUCUCGUAAGUGACCGUGAAGGGAUUGACAACCCCUAAUCGCGUUGGUUGCGAGUAGCUAUCGUUUUGUGUAGGUACGAGGGACUUGCGCGUGACCUCCUACUGAAUUGAUACCUUGGUUCUCAAAAACUGAGGGAAAUACUUACGCUACUGUGCUGCUUCAUCCUCUCCUCUUCGGGGAAAACCAACGCAAGCUCGAGACGUAGCAAGAAGGAUUUCUGGCGCCGUUGCCGGGGAGGCUUACGCAAAAGUCAACAUACCAAGUACCCAUCGCAAUCCCUAUCUCUCGCAUUACAUUAUUUGCCAUUUGCCUCUCGUUUUCCUCUCCCCCACUUCACCCUUGCCGUUUUAUUCGCCCUCUCUUUCCCAAUCUCCUCCUCUUUUUCCUUUGCCUUUUUUCUCGUCCGUUUGUUUGCUCGUGUGUUAGUUUGUUUGCUUGCCGUCAUGACUAGUCUCAUAUCUUUUCCAUUAUCUCCCGAGAAUGAAGUUCUAAAUUUUAAGCAAAGGGAGGGAGAAAAUCUAAAAGAUGCUUGGUAUAGAAUUUGCAAUGCUCAAAAUAGAUCUACCAGGAAGCAAUCUACUUUAGUUCUUCUUCAUAAUUUUUAUGUAGGUGCUAAUCCUUGGUAUAGAUAUAUCCUUGAUACCAUUACCGGAGGGAAUUUCUUGGGUAGCCAUACUUUUGACUCUUAUAAUGCUUUAAUAGAUUUGUUUGGCUCACCUCCUCUUUUGGUUAAUGGAACUAUAUUAACUUUGGAGCAUGUUAUGCAAAGGCUUGAAAUUAUUGAAAAUAAAGUUGCUACCAUUGAAUCCAUUGAAAAUCUAGAUAAAAAGAUACAUAAUCAAAUUACUCAAUAUGGAUCUAAGGUAGGAAUGACUUUGAAAAAUAUUAAGGAGAAGGAACCCAUGGUUAAUGCGAAAAUAAAUCUAGAUUCCACUCGAAUCGAUAAACUUGAGGGUAUCAUUACCAACUUGGGAACCGCUUUUUCUUCUGUAAAGAAUACUCCUAGUCCUCCCACUAAAAUUGCCAAGCUUAUGUAUGUUCCUAAAAAUAAGGGUGAAUGAUCUAGUAAGGAAAAUGCGGAUCUUAAAUCUAUAAGUAUUCAUCCCGAUCUUUUUACUAUCAUUAAGGAACCAUUUGCUACGAAUGAAUUUUUCGAUCUUGUGCCUAAAAAUUUGAUAAUUACUAGAAAGAAAGAAAAUUCUAAAGGAGGUAGAUGCCUCAUUGAAGAAUUGCCUACCAAAGAUGCAAUACCUAGAUCUAUCCUUGCUUUUAUGCCUAGCUAGGGGCGUUAAACGAUAGCGCUUGUUGGGAGGCAACCCAAUUUUUUUGUGUUUUUUGUUUUUGCUUCUGUUUAGGAAUAAAUAAUCCAUCGACCUUCUGUUUGGAUGUGGUUUUAUGUUUUAAUUAGUGUUUGUGCCAAGUAGGACCUAUAGGAUAACCUACGAUGAUAGUUGAUUUGAUUCUGCUGAAAAACAGAAACUUUGCACGCACGAAUAUAAUUAUGAUAAAUUACAGGAACGUGCUUUUGCGUUGAUUCUUUUUGCUGCUGAUCAAUAAACAAAAUUUCCAGAACUUCCUAUUUUGGUAGAAUUUUUAGAGUUCCAUAAGUUUGCGUUAGUUACAGAUUGCUACAGACUGUUCUGUUUUUGACAGAUUCUGUUUUGCGUGUGUUGUUUGCUUAUUUUGAUGAAUCUAUGGGUAGUAAAAUAGGUUAUAAUCCAUAGAGAAGUUGGAAUACAGUAGGUUUAACACCAAUAUAAAUAAAUAAUGAGUUCAUUACAGUACCUUAAAGUAGUCUUUUGUUUUCUUUCUCUAACGGAGCUCACGAGAUUUCUAUUGAGUUUUGUGUUGUGAAGUUUUCAAGUUUUGGGUGAAUUCUUUUGAUGGCUUAUGGAACAAGGAGUGGCAAGAGCCUAAGCUUGGGGAUGCCCAUGGCACCCCCAAGAUAAUCCAAGGACACCAAAAAGUCAAAGCUUGGGGAUGCCCCGGAAGGCAUCCCCUCUUUCGUCCACUUCCAUCGGUAAUUUACUUGGAGCUAUAUUUUUAUUCACCAACAUGAUAUGUGUUUUGCUUGGAGCGUCUUGUAUUAUUUGCAUCUUUGCUUGUUAGUUUACCACAAUCAUCCUUGCUGUACACACCUUUUGAGAGAGCCAUACAUGAAUUGAAAUUUGUGAGAAUACUCUAUGUGCUUCACUUAUAUCUUUUGAGCUUGAUAGUUUGCUCAUAGUGCUUCACUUAUAUCUGCUGAGCGUGAUAAUUUUUGCUCUAGUGCUUCACUUAGAUCUUUUAGAGCACGGUGGUGGAUUUGUUUUAAACAAACUUGAUCUCUCAUGCUUCACUUAGAUUAUUUUGAGAGUUGUUAAUAGCAUGGUAAUUUGUUUAAUGUUAACAUACUUGGUAUUCAAGAUAUGUGAAACUUUCUUUUGAGUGCGUUGAAUACUAAGAUAAGUUUGAUGCUUGAUAAUUGUUUUGAGAUAUGAAGGUGAUAAUAUUAGAGUCAUGCUAGUUGAGUAGUUGUGAAUUUAAAGAAUACUUGUGUUGAAGUUUGUGAUUCCCGUAGCAUGCACGUAUGGUGAACCGUUAUGUGAUGAACUCGGAGCAUGAUUUAUUUAUUGAUUGUCUUCCUUAUGAGUGGCGGUCGGGGACGAGCGAUGGUCUUUUCCUACCAAUCUAUCCCCCUAGGAGCAUGCGCGUAAUACUUUGCUUUGAUAAUUUUGAGAUUUUUGCAAUAAGUAUAUGAGUUCUUUAUGACUAAUGUUGAGUUCAUGGAUUAUACGCACUUUUUCCCAUCCUUCCACCAUUGCUAGACUCUCUAAUACCGUGCACCUUUCGCCGGUAUCAUACACCCACCAUAAACCUUCCUCAAAACAGCCACCAUACCUACCUAUCAUGGCAUUUCCAUAGCCAUUCCGAGAUAUAUUGCCAUGCAACUUUCCACCGUUCCGUUUAUUAUCACACGCUCCAUCAUUGUCAUAUUGCUAGCAUGAUCAUGUAGUUGACAUCGUAUUUGUGGCAAAAGCCACCUUUCAUAAUUGUUUCAUACAUGUCACUUAUGUUUCAUUGCAUAUCCCGGUACACCGCCGGAGGCAUUCAUAUAGAGUCAUAUUUUGUUCUAAGUAUCGAGUUGUAAUUGUUGAGUUGUAAGAAAAAUAAAAGUGUGAUGAUCAUCAUUAUUAGAGCAUUGUCCCAAGUGAGGAAAGGAUGAUGGAGUCUAUGAUUCCCCCACAAGUCGGGAUGAGACUCCGCACGAAAAAAAGAGGCCAUAAAAAGAAGAAGAGAAAAGGCCCAAAUAAAAUAAAAAAAUGAGAGAAAAAGAGAGAAGGGACAAUGCUACUAUCCUUUUACCACACUUGUGCUUCAAAGUAGCACCAUGAUCUUCAUGAUAGAGAGUCUCUCAUUUCGUCACUUUCAUAUACUAGUGGGAAUUUUUCAUUAUAGAACUUGGCUUGUAUAUUCCAAUGAUGGGCUUCCUCAAAAUGCCCUAGGUCUUCGUGAGCAAGCGAGUUGGAUGCACACCCACUUAGUUUCUUUUGUUGAGCUUUCAUAUACUUAUAGCUCAAGUGCAUCCGUUGCAUGGCAAUCCCUACUCACUCACGUUGAUAUCUAUUGAUGGGCAUCUCCAUAGCCCGUUGAUACGCCUAGUUGAUGUGAGACUAUCCUCCCUCUUUUUGUCUUCUCCACAACCACCGUUCUAUUCCACAUAUAGUGCUAUAUCCAUGGCUCACGCUCAUGUAUUGCGUGAAGAUUGAAAAAGUUUUGAAAAUGUUAAAGUAUGAAACAAUUGCUUGGCUUGUCAUCGGGGUUGUGCAUGAUUUAAAUACUUUGUGUGGGGAAGAUGGAGCAUAGCCAGACUAUAUGAUUUUGUAGGGAUAACUUUCUUUGGCCAUGUUAUUUUGGGAAGACAUAAUUGCUUUGUUAGUAUGCUUGAAGUAUUAUUAUUUUUAUGUCAAUAUGAACGUUUGUCUUGAAUCUUUUAGAUCUGAAUAUUCAUACCAUGAUUAAGAAGAUUUACAUUGAAAUUAUGCCAAAGUAUCACUCCGCAUCAAAAAUUCUCUUUUUAUCAUUUACCUACUCGAGGACGAGUAGGAAUUAAGCUUGGGGAUGCCUGAUACGUCUUCAACGUAUCUAUAAUUUUUGAUUGCUCCAUGCUACUUUAUCUAUUGUUUUGGACUAUAAUGGGCUUUAUUUUCCACUUUUAUAUUAUUUUUGGGACUAACCUAUUAACCGGAGGCCCAGCCCAGAAUUGUUGUUUUUUGCCUAUUUCAGUAUUUUGAAGAAACAGAAUAUCAAACGGAGUCCAAACGGAAUGAAACCUUCGGGAACGUGAUCUUCUCACCGAACGUGAUCCGGGAGACUUGGACCCUACUCCAAGAAGCACCAUAGGCGGUCACGAGGGUGGAGGGUGCGCCCCCCUAGGCGCGCCCCCUACCUCGUGGGCCCCCAGACGCUCCACCGACGUACUCCUUCCUCCUAUAUAUACCUACUAUCCCCAAUAGACUAGAGACGGAGCCAAAAACCUAAUUCCACAGCCGCAACCUUUUGUAUCCACGAGAUCCCAUCUUGGGGCCUGUACCGGAGCUCCGCCGGGGGGGGGGGCAUCCAGCACGGAGGGCUUCUACAUCAACACCAUAACCCCUCCGAUGAAGUGUGAGUAGUUUACUUCAGACCUUCGGGUCCAUAGCUAGUAGCUAGAUGGCUUCUUCUCUCUUUUUGGAUCUCAAUACAAUGUUCUCCCCCUCUCUCGUGGAGAUCUAUUCGAUGUAAUCUUAUUUUUGCGGUGUGUUUGUUGAGACCGACGAAUUGUGGGUUUAUGAUCCAGCUUAUCUAUUUGAAUCUUUUCUGAAUUCUUUUAUGUAUGAUUGAGUUAUCUUUGCAAGUCUCUUCGAAUUAUCCAUUUGGUUUGGCCAACUAGAUCGGUAGUUCUUGCAAUGGGAGAAGUGCAUGGCUUUGGGUUCAAUCUUGCGGUGUCCUUACUCAGUGACAGAAGGAGUUGCAAGGCAUGUAUUGUAUUGUUGCCAUCAAGGAUAACAAGAUGGGGUAUUUAUCAUAUUGCAUGAGUUUAUUCCUCUACAUCAUGUCAUCUUGCUUAAGGCGUUACUCUGUUUUUAACUUAAUACUCUAGAUGCAUGCUGGAUAGCGGUCGAUGAGUGGAGUAAUAGGAGUAGAUGCAGAAUCGUUUCGAUCUACUUGUCAUGGACGUGAUGCCUAUAUACAUGAUCAUACCUAGAUAACCUCAUAACUAUGCUCAAUUCUAUCAAUUGCUCAACAGUAAUUUGUUCACCCACCGUAGAAUAUCUAUGCUCUUGAGAGAAGCCACUAGUGAAACCUAUGGCCCCCGGGUCUAUUCUCAUCAUAUAAAUCUCCAUAACUUUAUUUACUUGCUUUGCUUUUACUUUUUACUUUGCAUCUUUAUACCAAAAAUACCAAAAAUAUUAUCUCUGUCAGAUCUCACUCUUGUAAGUGACCGUGAAGGGAUUGACAACCCUAAUCACGUUGGUUGCGAGUAGCUAUCGUUUUGUGUAGGUACGAGGGACUUGCGCGUGACCUCCUACUGGAUUGAUACCUUGGUUCUCAAAAACUGAGGGAAAUACUUAUGCUACUGUGCGGCUUUAUCCUCUCCUCUUCGGGGAAAACCAACGCAAGCUCAAGACGUAGCACCCACCCCUCCUGGGCGCCCCCCUGUCUCCUGGGCCCCACGAGCGGCCACCGACGUACCUCUUCCUCCUAUAUAUACCUACGUACCCCAAAAACAUCCAGGGAGCCAACAAAAAACAAUUUCCACCACCGUAACCUUUUGUAUCCGCGAGAUUCCAUCUUGGAGCCUUCGUCGGCGCUCCGCUGGAGGGGGAAUCAACCAUGGAGGGCUUCUACAUCAACACCAUAGCCCCUCCGAUGAGUUGUGAGUAGUUUACCACAGACCUUCGGGUCCAUAGUUAUUAGCUAGAUGGCUUCUUCUCUCUUUUUGGAUCUCAAUACAAUGUUCUCCCCCUCUCUUGUAUAGAUCUAUUCGAUAUAAUCUCUUUUUGCAGUGUGUUUGUCGAGAUCCGAUGAAUUGUGGGUUUAUGAUCAAGUUUAUCUAUGAGAAAUCUUUGAAUCUCCUCUGAAUUCUUUUAUGUAUGAUUGAGUUAUCUUUGCAAGUCUCUUCGAAUUAUCAGUUUGGUUUGGCCUACAAGAUUGAUCUUUCUUUCCAUGGGAGAAGUGCUUAGCUUUGGGUUCAAUCUUGCGGUGUCCUUACCCAGUGACAAAAAGGGUUGCAAGGCACGUAUUGUAUUGUUGCCAUCGAGGAUAAAAAGAUGGGGUUUAUAUUAUAUUGCUUGAGUUUAUCCCUCUACAUCAUGUCAUCUUUCUUAAUGCGUUACUCUGUUCUUAUGAACUUAAUACUCUAGAUGCAUGCUGGAUAGCGGUCGGUGUGUGGAGUAAUAGUAGUAGAUGCAUGCAGGAGUCGGUCUACUUGUCACGGACGUGAUGCCUGUAUACAUGAUCAUGCCUAGGUAAUCUCAUAAUUAUUCGCUUUUCUAUCGAUUGCUCGAUAGUAAUUUGUUUACCCACCGUAAUACUUAUGCUAUCUCGAGAGAAGCCACUAGUGAAACCUAUGGCCCCCGGGUCUAUCUUUUAUCAUAUAAGCUUUCAAUCUACUUUUAUUUGCAUCUAUAUUAUAAAAUACCAAAAAUAUAUUUAUCUUAUCAUACUAUCUCUAUCAGAUCUCACUUUCACAAGUGGCCGUGAAGGGAUUGACAACCCCUUUAUUGCGUUGGUUGCGAGUUCUUUGCUUGUUUGUGUAGGUGCGUGGGACUUUUGAGGAGCCUCCUACUGGAUUGAUACCUUGGUUCUCAAAAACUGAGGGAAAUACUUACGCUACUAUUGCUGCAUCACCCUUUCCUCUUCAAGGAAAACCAACGCAAGCUCAAGACAUAGCAAGAAGGAUUUCUGGUGCUGUUGCCAGGGAGGUCUUCGCUCAAGUCAAAACAUACCAAGUACCCAUCAUAAACUCACCUCCCUCGCAUUUACAUUAUUUGCCAUUUGCCUCUCGUUUUCCUCUCCCCCACUUCACCCUUGCCGUUUUAUUCGCCCUCUCUUUCCCAAUCUCUCUCUCUCUCUUUUUCGCUUGCCUUUUUCUGUUUGCUUGUGUGUUGGAUUACUUGUUGCCAUGGCGCAAGAUAAUACCAAAUUCUGUGAUUUCUCCAAUACCAAUAAUAAUGAUUUCCUUAGUACUCCUAUUGCUCCUCUUAAUGAUGUGGAGUCUUGUGAAAUCAAUACUGCUUUGCUGAAUCUUGUUAUGAAAGAUCAAUUCGUCGGCCUUCCUAGUGAAGAUGUCGCUACUCAUCUAAACAACUUUGUUGAUUUGUGUGAUAUGCAAAAGAAGAAAGAUACGGAUAAUGAUAUUGUUAAAUUGAAGUUAUUUCCGUUUUCACUUAGAGAUCAUGCUAAAGUUUGGUUUUCGUAUUUGCCUAAAAAUAGUAUUGAUUCUUGGAACAAGUGCAAAGAUGCUUUUAUCUCUAAGUAUUUUCCUCCCGCUAAGAUCAGCUCUCUUAGGAAUGAUAUUAUGAAUUUUAAACAACUUGAUCAUGAGCAUGUUGCCCAAUCUCGGGAAAGAAUGAAAUUGAUGAUUCGCAAUUGCCCUACUCGUGGUUUGAAUUUAUGGAUGACCAUACAAAAUUUUUAUGCCGGUUUGAACUUUGCUUCUAGAAAUCUUUUAGAUUCGGCCGCGGGAGGCACGUUUAUGGAAAUCACGUUAGGAGAUGCUACAAAACUUCUUGAUAAUAUUAUGGCUAAUUAUUCUCAAUGGCACACCGAAAGAUCUUCUAGUAAAAAAGUGCAUGCUAUAGAAGAAAUCAAUGUUUUGAGUGGAAAGAUGGAUGAACUUAUGAAAUUAUUUGCUACUAAGAGUGAUCCUCUUGAUCCCAAUGAUAUGCCUUUGUCUACUUUGAUUGAGAAUAAUAAUGAAUCUAUGGAUGUGAAUUUUGUUGGUAGGAAUAGUUUUGGAAACAAUGCUUAUAGAGGAAACUUUAAUCCUAGACCUUUCCCUAGUAAUCCCUCUAAUAAUUAUGGAAAUUCCUACAAUAAUUCUUCUAGUAAUUUUAAUAAUAUGCCCUCUGAUUUUGAGAAUAGUGUGAAAGAAUUUAUGAUUUCUCAAAAGAAUUUUAAUGCUUUGCUUGAAGAAAAAUUUCUCAAAGUUGAUGAUUUGGCUAGGAACAUUGAUAGACUUUCGCUUGAUGUUGAUUCUCUUAAACUUAGAUCUACUCCUCCUAAGCAUGAUAUCAAUGAGUCUCUCAAAGCCAUGAGAAUUUCCAUUGAUGAGUGCAAGGAAAGAACCGCUAGAUUGCGUGCUAAGAAGGAUUGCUUUGUAAAGGCGUGUUCUUCUAGUUUCCAUGAAAAUAAUGAUGAAGAUCUUAAAGUUAUUGAUGUGUCUCCUAUUAGAUCUUUGUUUUGCAAUAUGAAUCUUGAUAAUAAUGGGACUGGAGAUGAGUCGACUUUAUUUAGAAAGCAUCCCAAGAAUUUGGAGUUUUUAGAUCUUGAUGCUAAAUUUGGUAAAAGUGGGAUUGGAGAGGUCAUGACUUUAAAUAGUAUUGAACCCACUAUCUUGGAUUUCAAGGAAUUUGAUUAUGAUAAUUGUUCUUUAGAAGGUUGUAUUUCCUUGUUGCAAUCCGUUGUUAAUUCUCCUCAUGCUUAUAGUCAAAAUAAAGCUUUUACCAAACAUAUCGUUGAUGCCUUGAUGCAAUCUUAUGAUGAAAAACUUAAUUUGGAAGUUUCUAUACCUAGAAAACUUAAUGAUGAGUGGGAACCUACUAUAAAGAUUAGAAUUAAAGAUCAUGAGUGUUUUGCUUCGUGUGAUUUGGGUGCUAGUGUUUCCACGAUUCUGAAACUUUAUGUGAUAUUCUAGGUUUCCAUGAUCUUGAUGAUUGCUCUUUAAAUUUGCACCUUGCGGAUUCCACCAUUAAAAAGCCAAUGGGAAGGAUCAAUGAUGUUCUCAUCGUUGCAAAUAGAAAUUUGGUGCCCGUAGAUUUUAUCGUUCUUGAUAUAGAUUGCAAUCUUUCUUGCCCUAUUAUUCUUGGUAGACCUUUCCUUAUAACAAUUGGUGCGAUUAUUGAUAUGAAGGAAGGGAAUAUUAGAUUCCAAUUUCCCUUAAAGAAAGGCAUGGAGCACUUUCCAAGAAAGAAAGUCAAAUUAUCUUAUGAAUCUAUCAUGCGAGCUACUUAUGAAUUGAGUGCCAAAGAUGGCACUACUUAGAUCUAUCUUCGCUUUUAUGCAUAGCUAGGGGCGUUAAACGAUAGCGCUAGUUGGGAGGCAACCCAAUUUUAUUUGUGUUUUUUUGUUUGUUUUUGUUUCUGUUUAGUAAUAAAUUUUGCAUCUACGUUCUGUUUAGAUGUGUUUUUAUGUUUUUAUGUUUUAAUUAGUGUUUGUGCCAAGUAGAACCUAUAGGAUGACCUAUGAUGAUAGUUGAUUUGAUUCUUCUGAAAAACAGAAACUGCGCGCACGAAAUUAGUUUUGUUAAAUCACAGAAACGUGCUUUUGCGUUGAUUCUUUUUUCUACCGAUCAAUACAAAUUGUCCAGGACUUCCUAUUUUGGUAGGAUUUUUAGAGUUUCAGAAGUUUGCGUUAGUUACAGAUUGCUACAGACUGUUCUGUUUUUCACACAUUCUAUUUUCGUGUGUUGUUUGCUUAUUUUGAUGCAUCUAUGGCUAGUAGUAAGUGGUAUGAACCAUAGAGAACUUGGAAUACAGUAGGUUUAACACCAAAAUAAAUAAAUAAUGAGUUCAUUAAGUACCUUAUGUGGUGGUUUUGUUUUCCUUCACUAACGGAGCUUAUAAGAUUUCCUGUUGAGUUUUGUGUUGUGAAGUUUUCAAGUUUUGGGUAAAGCUUUGAUGGACUAUGGAAUAAGGAGUGGCAAAAGCCUAAGCUUGGGGAUGCCCAUGGCACCCCAAGAUAUUCAAUAAUAGCCAAAAUCCUAAGCUUGGGGAUGCCCCGGGAAGGCAUCCCCUCUUUCGUCUUCGUUCAUUGGUAACUUUAUUUGGAGCUAUAUUUUUAUUCGACACAUGAUAUGUGUUUUGCUUAGAGCGUCGUGUAUUAUACUAGUCUUUGCUUUUUAGUUUACCACAAUCAUCCUUGCUGUACACACCUUUUGGGAGAAGCCUACUUGAUUGAAUUUAUUAGAAUAUGCUAUGUGCUUCACUUAUAUCUUUUGAGCUUGAUAGUUUUUGCUCUAGUGCUUCACUUAUAUCUUUUAGAGCACAGCGGUGGCCUAAUUUUGUAGAAAUUGCUAGUCUCUCAUGCUUCACUUAUAUUAUUUUGAGAGUCUUUUAGAACAGCAUGGUAUUUGCUAUGGUUAUAAAUUGGUCCUAGAAUGGUAGGCAUCCAAGUUGGGUAUAAUAAAAACUAUCAUAGGAAGUGAAUUGGAUGCUAUGAUCAAUCUGAUACUUGAUAAUUGUUUUGAGAUAUGGAGGUAGUGAUAUUAAAGUCAUGCUAGUUUGGUGAUUAUGAAUUUAAAUAAUGCUUGUGUUGAAGUUAGCAAGUCCCAUAGCAUGCACGUAUGGUUAAAGUUGUGUAACAAAUUUGAAACAUGAAGUGUACCUGGCUUGUGCAUCCUUAUGAGUGGCGGUCGGGGACGAGCGAUGGUCUUUUCCUACCAAUCUAUCCCUCUAGGAGCAUGCGCGUAGUGCUUGAUUUUUGAUGACUUCUAAAUUUUUGCAAUAAGUAUAUGAGUUCUUUUGACUAAUGUUGAGUCCAUGGAUUAUACGCACUUUUACCUUUCCACCAUUGCUAGCCUCUUCGGUACUGUGCAUUGCCCUUUGUUACCUUGAGAGUUGGUGCAAACUUCACUGGUUCAUCCAAACCCCGUGAUAUGAUAUGCUCUAUCACACAUAAACCUACUUAUAUCUUCCUCAAAACAGGCACCAUACCUACCUAUUAUGGCAUUUCCAUAUCCAUUCCGAGAUAUAUUGCCAUGCAACUUUCCACCGUUCCGUUCAUCAUCAUGACAUACUUUACUUUUGUCAUAUUGCCAUUGCAUGAUCAUGUAGUUGACAUAGUAUUUGUGGCAAAGCCACCAUGCAUAAUUUUUCAUACAUGUCACUCUUGAUUCAUUGCACCAUCCCGGUACACCGCCGGAGGCAUUCAUGUAGAGUCAUAUCUUGUUCUAGUUUCGAGUUGUAAUUCAUAUGUUGUAAUCAAUGAAAGUGUGAUCAUCAUCAUUAUUGGAGCAUUGCACAAAAAAAGAAAAAAAAGGGAAAAAGGGGUAAUGUUACUAUCUCUUUUUCCACACUUGUGCUUCAAAGUAGCACCUUGUUCUUCAUGUAGUGAGUCUCAUAUCUUGUGCUUCAAAGUAGCACCAUGUUUUUCAUAUAGUGAGUCUCAUAUGUUGUCACUUUCAUAUACUAGUGGGAGUUUUUCAUUAUAGAACUUGGCUUGUAUAUUCCUACGAUGGGCUUCAUCAAAUGCCCUAGGUCUUUGUGAGCAAGCAAGCUGGAUGCACACCCAAUAGUUUUCUUUUGUUGAGCAUUCAUUUAUAGCUCUAGUGCAUCCGUUGCAUGGCAAUCCCUACUCCUCAUGUUGACAUCAAUUGAUGGGCAUCUCCAUAGUGCGUUGAUUAUCCUCGUCAAUGUGAGACUUUCUCCUUUUUUGUCUUCUCCACACAAUCCCCAUCAUCAUAUUCUAUUCCACCCAUAGUGCAAUAUCCAUGGCUCACGCUCAUGUAUUGCGUGAAGGUUGAAAAAGUUUGAGAUUAUUUAAGUACGAAACAAUUGCUUGGCUUGUCAUCGGGGGUGUAGAAUUUGGGAACAUCUUUGUGUGACAAAAAUGAAGCAUAGCCUAACUAUAUGAUUUUGUAGGGAUGAACUUUCUUUAGCCAUGUUAUUUUGAGAAGACAUGAUUCCUUUGAUUAGUAUGCUUGAAGUAUUACUAUUUCUUUUAUCAAUAUGACCUUUAUUUUGAAUCACCACAAUAAAGAAAAUCACAUUGAGAAUUAUGCUAGGUAGUAUUCCACAUCAAAAAUUCUGUUUUUAUCAUUUACCUACUCGAGGACGAGCAGGAAUUAAGCUUGGGGAUGCUUGAUACAUCUCCAAUGUAUCUAUAAUUUUUUAUUGUUCCAUGCUAUUAUAUUACCCCUUUUGGAUGUUUAUGGGCUUUAUUUUACACAUUUAUAUCAUUUUUGGGACUAACCUACUAACCGGAGGCCCAGCCCGUAUUGCUGUUUUUUUGCCUAUUUCAGUAUUUCGAAGAAAAGGAAUAUCAAACGGAGUCCAAAAGGAAUGAAACCUUCGGGGGCGUGAUUUUGGAACGAACGUGAUCUGGAGAACUUGGAGUGCAAGUCAAGAAGCAAUUGAGGCGGCUAGGAGAUAGGAGGGCACGCCCACCCCUCCUGCGCUCCCUUGUCUCCUAGGCCCCACAAGCGGCCACCGACGUACCUCUUCCUCCUAUAUAUACCUACAUACCCCGAAAACAUCCAGUGAGCCAACGAAAAACAAUUUCCACCGCCGUAACCUUCUGUAUCCGCGAGAUCCCACCUUGGAGCCUUUGUUAGCGCUCCGCCGGAGGGGGAAUCGACCAUGGAGGGCUUCUACAUCAACACCAUAGCCCCUCCGAUGAGUUGUGAGUACUUUACCACAGACCUUCGGGUCCAUAGUUAUUAGCUAGAUGGCUUCUUCUCUCUUUUUGGAUCUCAAUACAAUGUUCUCCCCCUCUCUUGUGGAGAUCUAUUCGAUGUAAUCUCUUUUUGCGGUGUGUUUGUCGAGAUCCGAUGAAUUGUGGGUUUAUGAUCAAGUUUAUAUAUGAGAAAUCUUUGAAUCUCCUCUGAAUUCUUUUAUGUAUGAUUGAGUUAUCUUUGCAAGUCUCUUCGAAUUAUGUGUUUGGUUUGGCCUACUAGAUUGAUCUUUCUUGCCAUGGGAGAAGGGCUUAGCUUUGGGUUCAAUCUUGCGGUGUCCUUACCCAGUGACAGAAAGGGUUGCAAGGCACGUAUUGUAUUGUUGCCAUCAAGGAUAAAAAGAUGGGGUUUAUAUCAUAUUGCUUGAGUUUAUCCCUCUACAUCAUGUCAUCUUUCUUAAUGUGUUACUCUGUUCUUAUGAACUUAAUACUCUAGAUGCAUGCUGGAUAGCGGUCGAUGUGUGCAGUAAUGGUAGUAGAUGCAGGCAGGAGUCGGUCUACUUGUGUCGGAUGUGAUGCCUGUAUACAUGAUCAUGCCUAGAUAAUCUCAUAAUUAUUCGCUUUUCUAUCAAUUGCUCGACAAUAAUUUGUUCACCCACCGUAAUACUUAUGCUAUCUCGAGAGAAGCCACUAGUGAAACCUAUGGCCCCCGGGUCUAUCUUUUAUCAUAUAAGCUUUCAAUCUACUUUUAUUUGCAUCUUUACUUUUUGCAUCUAUAUUAUAAAAUACCAAAAAUAUAUUUAUCUUAUCAUACUAUCUCUAUCAGAUCUCACUUUCGCAAGUGGCCAUGAAGGGAUUGACAACCCCUUUAUUGCAUUGGUUGCGAGUUCUUUGUUUGUUUGUGUAGGUGCGUGGGACUUUUGAGGAGCCUCAUACUGGAUUGAUACCUUGGUUCUCAAAAACUUAGGGAAAUACUUAUGUUACUAUUGUUGCAUCACCCUUUCCUCUUCAAGGAAAACCAACGCAAGCUCAAGACGUAGCAGCUGCGCCAAGUGUGAGUAUCGUCAUAACAUUUAGUCAGUUUAAAAGAUUAACACACAUAUCACUUUCGGGUAUGUAGUAGUGCCGCAUACCUUGGGUUUCGUUAAACCGCUUGUUGAUGCAGUCGAGUUCCUCAUCGAAUAGCCGAAGCUUCUUAUUGAGCUUGGCAACCUUUGCGGCCUGGGCAGUCGCCGCCAGCAUAGAAGCCGGUCCAAUAACAUAGGACGAUACAUUGUCACUUUGUUUUUUAUCCUCUAUCUUGAUUGUUCUAAUCCGGAUAGAGUCUCAGCGGCUACUGUCUAUACACAGGUUCAACCUUAUAUAUAUACCAAAAAAAGAAAGCUUGUAAAGAGAAUUACAUCGCAUACCUCAAAGCCCGUCAGUAGGCUAUUGAAGGCUUCGUUCAGUCUGCUCUUCGCGGCCCGAACCUUUUCCAUAACCGCACCCAUCAGGGUGCGGUGUUCCUCCAUGGUGGACGCAUGUCACAGUGCUUCCUACAGAGUGUCAGCGGUCUCUGGAUUGACAUAGGCCACCGAUGGAGCCGCUGCUCCUCCCCCCUCUUUCGAAAGGGGGUGUCGGUCCGAACCCGGAGCCGUAUUGGUCUCUAGGAUGAUGUUCGGCGAGGGCCCAAACUAUUGAGCCCCCCCCCCCACCCUUGGUGGUCAUGCGGGUCAUUGUGCCUUGCUCUACAGUGUCCGAGGUGUUAUCCUCGGGCGCCUUCUGGACGUCCUCGUCCGCUCCUCCUCGGCCAGGAGAUGUCCUUUGGGAUGACACCUCGGUGUCUUCCAUGGCAGGGGGGAGAAGGCGUGCGAUGGUCCGUCACUCUCCACCUCUUCAGGUUCCAGAGAGUUCCCCUCUGAAGAAGAGGGAAUUGGGAUCUCGCGCGGAGGGCUGAAAGGCAAAGGAAAGCCUUGAUUCAUAAAACAAAGGCAGAUUAAGCAAUAACUGAACAAGUAAGUUUUCGAUACUUAUGUUUUGGCCAGGGGCUUCUCCCUUUGGAUCCUCUUCGGCCUGUGUUUGGACUCUGAGUCCAAACUAUCCGAGAGGACUACCCUCUCCUUCUUCAGUGUCGCUCCCUCCAGGUUCUUAGAGGUUGUCCUCUUCACCCUCCUCGUCUUGAGUGGGGAGUCGCUCUCCACUUCCUCCUCCUCCUCCUCUUCAUCAUCAUAUUCCUCGUAAGAGGAGACAGCCUCGGUCUCUCCAGAAACUGCAUCCGAAGAGCCUUUGUGACGGGGCCUGUCCUUGGGCCCCUUGCCCUUCUUCUUGAUUUUCUUCUCCUGCGACUGAUAGGGCGCCGGGACCAGCAUCUCCUCCAGCUGAGGAGUGACUGGGUCUUCGGGUAACAGAGCCGAACUCUUAAUCCGCUCCAACUUCUUGGUCCAUCCCUGCAAAAAGGUGGGCCGAUGAGUUUCGCAUUGAUCGAAUACAUAAACCAGAUAUAUCUUCGGAAAUUAAACACUUACCGGAGUGGCCAGAUUCUUGGCGUUGAGGCUGACGUCUUCAGUCUCCAUGGGCCAGCUCUUCUGCGCCUUGAAGAGCAGCUUCCACAUUCCCUCGUGUGUUGUGCCGAGGAAAUGCUGCAGAGUCCGCGGCUCCUCUGGAUUGAACUCCCACAUGGGGGAAGUCUGGCGCUGGCAAGGGAGGAUGCGGCGGAAGAGCAUAAUUUGCACUAUGUUGGUUAGACCAACGUUUUUGCUCAGCACAUUGGUGAUACGCAUUUGCAGCGUCUGCACCUCUGUCGGAGACCCCCAGUCGUGGCCCUUCGCGGUCCAGUAGACGAGCCACAUGCGGGGCCCGGAUCUGAAUUCCGGGAUCGCUGCCCACUUAGUGUGGUGCGACUCAGUGAUAUAAAAUCACUCUUGUUGCCAGAUCUUGAUGGUCUCCAUGAAGACCCCCUUGGGCCAUGUGGCGUUGGGCAGCCUGCUGAUCAUAGCUCUGCCGUAGUCCGCAUGCUGCCCGUCUACCACCUUCGGCUUCACAUUGAAGACCUUCAGCCACAUGCCGAAGUGUGGGUGGAUGCGGAGAAGAGCCUCACACACGACGAUAAACGCCGAGAUGUGGAGGAAAGAGUUUGGGGCUAGAUCAUGGAUAUCUAGCCCGUAGUAGAACAUAAGUCCAUGGACAAAUGGGUGGAGUCAAAAACCUAACCCUCUAAGGAAAUGAGGAAGGAAGACGACCCGCUCGCCGGGCUUCGGAGUGGGAAUGAUCCGACCCUUGGGGGAGCCUGUGCGCGAUGGUGGCGGUGAGGUAUCCCACACUCCGGAGAUCUUUUAUCUCCUUCUGGUGACGGAGGAGGCCUCCCACUUGCCAUUGGAACCGGAUCCGGCCAUGGUCGGAGGAGGUGGUGGUGGUGGUGAGAAAGACAGAAACUUUUCGGGCGCUGAGAGCUUUGGAGAUUGGAAGGCAGAGGAGACUGGAAGGCAUGGGGAAGAAAAGAGAAAUCUAUUGCCCUCUUAUAGGCGGUAAAAAUGCCAACCGUCCCCCCACUUGCGCCUUGACGCUUGCCUACUCCCAAUGAAAGUGUGUGCCGUAAACGGUUGGAUUGCCCAAAUUUUAUUGAUGAGCAAUCCCGUAUUAAGUGGGCAUGAUCUCUGAUUUGAUGGGACGGGCCAAUGGGGCUUGGCCUCGAAACAUGGAACACGGGAUGUAAAAAUGGUUCAAAACAUCGAAGGGUCAAGUCUGACGCUUCGUGAAAAAAGUUGUCAGUAAAAGACAUUAUUCUUAUUUUAUAUAUAUAUCCUGCCUUCGUGGCUAAGGGUUGUGUUAACUAUGCAAAGACGGAUACAAUUAUUUUAUAGAGGAAAACUGAUGUAUAUUAUUCAAGGAACCCGCUUCGCAAUGCCGAAGAUAAUCCGUGCGCCGAACACGUCGUCAUUGAAGACUGGUUCAGGGGCUACUGUGGGAGUCUUGGACUAGGGGUCCUCGGGCAUCCGGUCUAUUGGAUAUGGGCCGGAUUGAUGGGCCGUCAAGAUACAAGACAGAAGAUCGCCUAUUGUGUCCGGUAGGGACUCAUGUAUACAUGGAUCGCAAGUUUAGGUGCCCAGAUAUGUUAUUUCCUUUCUGUUUAACCGACUUUGUACAACCCUAAGCCCCUCCGGUGUCUAUAUAAACCGGAGGGUUAGAUCGGAGGCAGGAUCACAACAUUACUAAGCUGGGCAAACUAGGGUUAACCAAUACGAUCUCGUGGUAGAUCAACUGUUGUAACCCCUAUACCCUUCGAAUAUAGUCAAGCAGGAGUAGGGUUUUACCUCCAUUAAUAGGGCCCGAACCUAGGUAAACACUGUAUCCUUUUGAUCAUAGUUACCACCGAUCCUCAGACAUAUAGCUUGGCCCCCCUACCUAAUAUCUGCCGGUUUUGACACCGACGGAGGGGGCUCCUUCACUUGCUCCAAACAAUCUGACCAAUGGAUGCACAUUGCUACUUGUGAGCUACAUUGAGAAUUCCCUGAAGAUGAGAAGAUGAUGCAGUACAGUAGAGAUAAGUAUUUCCCCCAGUUAAGAACCAAGACUAUCAAUCCAGUAGGAGAACCACGCAACACCUCGUUAGCAUCACUACACACAAAAUAACAAAUACUUGCACCAAACGCGAACAAAAGGGGUUGCCAAUCCCUGGGCGGUUAAUUACAAGGAUCAAAUUUUCUAUAGAUAGAUAGAUAAAUAAAACACAAAAUAUAAUAAAGUAAAUAAAAUUGUAGCAAGAUAUUGUUGGUUUUUUAUAUAUGAUGAAAAUAGACCCGGUGGGCAUAGUUUUCACUAGAGGCUUCUCUAUUGAAAAUAGCAUACGGUGGGUAAACAAAUUACUAUUGGGCAAUUGAUAGAAAAGCGAAUAAUCAUGAUGAUAUCUAAGGUAAUGAUCAUGUAUAUAGGUAUCACGUCUGAGACAAGUAGACCGACUCCUGCCUGCAUCUACUAUUAUUACUCCACACAUCGACCACUAUCCAGCAUGCAUAUAGAGUAUUAAGUUCAUAAAGAAUGAAGUAGCGCCUUAAGCAAGAUGACAUGAUGUAGACAAAGUAAACUCACACAUGAAUAAACCCCAUCUUUUUUCAUCCUUAAUAGCAAUGAUACAAUACGUGUCACAUGUCUUUCUGUCACUGGGAUUGAGCACCACAAGAUCAAACCUAUUACAAGGCACCUCUCCCAUUACAAGAAAGAUCAAUCUACUUGGCCAAACCAAAUCAAUAGAUCGGAGAGAAAUACGAAGCUAUAAUAAUCGUGCAUAAAAGAGUUCAGAGAAGACUCAAAUAAUAUUCAUAGAUAAUCUGAUCAUAAACUCACAAUUCAUCGGAUCCCAACAAACACACCACAAAAAGUGAUUAUAUCAAAUAGAUCUCAAAUAACAUCAAGAAGAAUGUUGAAGAACAAAGAGAGAGAAGAAUGUUGUGAAACGUAGCAUGCAAUUUCAAAAAAAUUCUUAUGCGCAUGCACGAUCUAUCUAGGAGAUGCAUAGCAACGAGAGGGGGAGAAUGUGUCCACGUACCCUCAUUGACCAAAAGUGGAAGCGUUAACUUAACGCGGUUUAUGUAGUCGAACGUCUUCUUGAGUCAACCGAUCAAGUACCGAAUGUACGGCACCUCCGAGUUUUGCACACGUUCAGCUCGAUGACGUCCCUCGAACUCUUGAUCUAGAAGAGUGUCAAUGGAGUCGAUGAGUUCCAUCAGCACAACGGUGUGAUUACGGUUGAGGGAGUCCCGGACUAGGGGGUGUCCGGACAGCCGAACUAUCAUGAUCGACCGGACUCCAAGACUAUGAAGAUACAAGAUUGAAGACUUCGUCCCGUGUCCGGAUGGGACUUUCCUUGGCGUGGAAGGCAAGCUUGGCGAUACGGGUAUGUAGAUCUCCUACCAUUGUAACUGACUUUGUGUAACCCUAGCCCUCUCCGGUGUCUAUAUAAACCGGAUGGCUUUAGUCCAUAGGACGAACAACAAUCAUACCAUAGGCUAGCUUCUUGGGUUUAGCCUCCUUGAUCUCGUGGUAGAUCCACUCUUGUAACACACAUCAUCAAUAUUAAUCAAGCAGGACGUAGGGUUUUACCUCCAUCAAGAGGGCCCGAACCUGGGUAAAACAUCGUGUCCCUUGUCUCCUGUUACCAUCCACCUAGACGCACAGUUCGGGACCCCCUACCCGAGAUCCGCCGGUUUUGACACCGACAUUGGUGCUUUCAUUGAGAGUUCCUCUGUGCCGCCACUGAUAGGCUCGAUGGCUUCUUCGAUCAUCAUCAACGACAUAGUCCAGGGUGAGACCUUCCUCCCCAGACAAAUCUUUGUAUUCGGCGGCUUCGCACUGCGGGCCAAUUCGCUUGGCCAACUGGAGCAGAUCGAAAGCUAUGCCCCUGGCCGUCAGGUCAGAUUUGGAAGUUUGAACUUCACGGCUGACAUCCGCGGGGACUUGAUCCUCGAUGGAUUCGAGCCACAGCCGAGCAUGCCGCACUGUCACGGCGAGCAUGAUUUAGCUCUACAGCCAGACAGUACCCUGGAGGCCGCACUCGAACCCGCUCCGAUCUUCAAUGCGGAGCCGGCUGCGCAGAUCGAGGAUGGAUGGCUAGACACCGCCUCGGGGGCUGCAACCUCUACGGCGAUAGAGCCGAACACUGACCAUGUCCCUCAUAAAGCUCGUGACUCCGAACCUCCCGCGCCCCCUCCGAUCGAAUCCGAUCGGGCGCCGAUCAUGGAGUUCACCGCAGCGGACAUCUUCCAACACUCACCUUUUGGCGACAUCUUGAGUUCGCUAAAGUAUCUCUCGUUAUCAGGAGAGCCCUGGCCGGACUGCAGCCAGGACGGUUGGGAUGCGGACGACGAAGAAAUUCAAAGCCCACCCACCACCCACUUGGUAACCACUGUCGACGAUCUAACCGACAUGCUAGACUACGACUCCGAAGACAUCGACGGUAUGGACGACGAUGCCGGAGACGACCAAGAACCAGCACCUACCGGGCACUGGACAGCCACCUCAUCAUAUGGCAUAUACAUGGUGGAUAUCCCAAAGGAUGGGAAUGGCGAAGGAGCGGCGGAGAAUGACCCCUCCAAAAAACAGCCCAAGCGCCGACGUCAGCGGAGCCGCUCUAAAUCCCGCCACAACAAGAAUGGCGAUUCCGGCACCGGAGAUAAUAAUACCCCAGACAGUGCCGAAGACAACCCCCUCCAGCAAGAUUCAACGCAGGAGGACGGAGACGCCAGCCCUCAUGAGAGAGUGGCAGAAGAAGAGGUAGAGGAUUAUAUGCCUCCCUCCGGAGACGAGGCAAGCCUCGACGAUGACGAAUUCGUCGUGCCUGAGGAUCCCGUUGAACAAGAGCGUUUUAAACGCAAGCUUAUGGCCACGACAAACAGCCUCAAGAAAAAGCAGCAACAACUUAGAGCUGAUCAAGAUCUGCUAGCCGACAGAUGGACUGAAGUCCUCGCGGCCGAAGAGCAUGAGCUCGAACGCCCCUCCAAAAGCUACCCUAAAUGCAAGCUGCUCCCCCGAUUAGAGGAGGAGGCAUAUGAACCUACAUCACCAGCAGACAAUACGGCUGACCGACCACCCUGUGGUCGCGACAGAGAGACCUCUAGGCCCUUCACUAGAACCGUACCCCGGCAUCGCUCAAAAAGCACAAGGCCACAGGGGAACGCUCCGGACUUGUGAGAUAUAUUGGAGGAUAAGGCAAGACAAUCAAGAUCGAUCUAUGGAUCGCGUACUAUGUAUCCACUGUCUUAACUCCAUGCAAGUCCUGGUACCCACAUUUUCAAAAGAUAGCGUAUGCGGUGUUCAUGGCAUCCCGGAAGCUGCGACACUACUUUCAAGAGUGUUCCAUAACGGUGGCCUCCGAAGUACCUCUCAACGAUAUUAUAAACAAUUGCGACGCAACGGGCAGGAUUGCAAAAUGGGCCAUUGAGCUCUUACCAUUUGACAUAACCUACAAACCACGGCGAGCUAUAAAGUCGCAAGUCCUGGCUGACUUCGUCGCCGAAUGGACCGAAGCCGAACUCCCUAAAGAGUACGACGCGUACUCCAAUUGGAUCAUGCAUUUCUACGGAUCCAAAAUGUUGGCUGGCUUGGGGGCUGGCGUCGUCUUGACAUCCCCAACCGAAGACACAGUCCAAUACGUACUUCAAAUAAUGUUCAUGGACUCCUACAAUGCAGCCAAAUACGAGGCCCUUCUACAUGGCCUCCGGAUGGCAAUCUCCAUGGGCAUUCAACGCCUAGAGGUGCGCGGGGAUUCAAACCUCGCAAUAUCCCAAGUAAAUGGAGACUUUGACGCCAAAGAUCCGAAAAUGGUGGCCUACCGCAACGCCGUCCUAAAAAUGUCAGCUCGGUUCGAAGGACUCGAAUUCCACCAUGUAGCCCGGGAUAAUAACCAGGCAGCAGACGUGUUGGCACGCAUCGGCGCAAAACGCGACGCCGUCCCUCCGAACAUCUUCCUGGAACGGCUCUUUAAGCCAUCCGUAUUAUGGGAAGAGGAGUCCGGAAAUAACAAUCCGGAACCAGCUGCAUCACCUAACUCAGACAAUUCUGACACAAUCGGCGGCUCAGCCAAUGAAAUAACACCUUCAGCCCACGAAACAAUGGCAGUAAUUGCCCCGUGGACAGAACCAUUCCUAGCCUACUUAAUCAGGCAGGAACUCCCCGAAGACCAAAAUGAGGCCCGUUGCAUAGUUCGGCGAUCUAAAGCCUACAAGGUCCAUGAGGGAGAACUUUAUAAGAAAAGCACAACUGGAGUCCUUCAAAGGUGUAUCUCCGAAGAGGAAGGGCGAAAUCUCCUGGCUGAAAUUCACGCCGGACUCGGCAGGCACCACGCUGCAGCCCGGGCCCUUGUAGGCAAGGCCUUCCGUACAAGAUUUUAUUGGCCGACAGCCCGGGCAGAUGCUCAGGACUUAGUCCAACGAUGCGUCGGUUGCCAGCUCUUUGCUAAUCAGAGCCACAUGCCACCCACCGCCCUAAAAACUAUACCCAUUACCUGGUCGUUCGCGGUCUGGGGGCUUGACAUGGUUGGACCCCUUAAAGGGGGAACCCACAAGCACAAAUACUUAUUGGUCAUGGUGGACAAAUUCACCAAAUGGAUAGAGGCCAAGCCGGUUAAAAUGGAAGAAUCCAGACCUAUGAUAGACUACAUAUCCGGGGUAGUACACUGUUUUGGCGUCCCCCACAGCAUCAUCACUGAUAACGGCACGAAUUUCACGGCCGACGAGGUUAAACUCUGGUGCAAAAACAUGGGCAUCAAGCUCGACUACGCUUCAGUCUAUCACCCCCAAACUAACGGUCAAGUCGAGCGAGCAAAUGGUAUAAUCAUGAGCGGCAUCAAACCCAGACUAGUGCGGUCCCUCAAGGAAUCUAACACGCACUGGGUAGAGGAGCUCGACUCCGUACUCUGGGGGCUGCGGACCACGCCAAACCGCACUACUGGAUUCACACCAUUUUUUAUGGUGUACAGCGCAGAGGCAGUUCUGCCCUGCGAUAUAAUUCAUGACUCACCUCGCGUGCGCAUGUACGAAGAAAGAGAAGCCGAGUUGGAUCGGUAGGAAAGUUUGGAUGCCUUAGAGGAGGAGUGGGAGGUGGCAAAAGCUCGUUCCGCAUUCUAUCAGCAGCAGGCUCGAAGAUAUCAAAGCAGAGAAGUACGGGCCAAAACUUACAAUGUUGGCGAACUUGUUCUACGCCUGCCGGACAAGAAAAAGGACAAACUUAAGCCCAAGUGGGAAGGUCCCUUCAUCAUCGACCAAGUCCUGACCGGCGGAGCAUACCAUCUACGUAACGCAUCUGACAACCGACUCGAGCCAAACCCAUGGAACGCAACCCGUCUCCGAAGAUUCUACGCCUAACGCCGAACUCAGAGUUCGUCUCACUCCUCCAUCCCCCCUUUUAAAAUUUCACUGUCUCUUGUCCCCCUCCUUCUUCCCAAUUCUUUUUUCAAUACCUUUGAUAGGCUGAUUUGCGCAUUGUUCGCACACACUCGAUGUGCUCCUAGCACUCAUUAUACCUAGGGGCUUCUUUAACAGAAGCUUAUUUAUACGGGCUUCAUGCCCAAUACAUGUGUCAUACUUCUGCAUGUACCUUUUAUUCACCAUUAUAUGCAUCGAUAUGACUUAAGUUUUGGCCAAGCUGGGUUGCCUGGCUCCUGUGCUUACCCCUACAUUCCCGAUUGUUCGGCUAGGAGGUAAAGGGAGCACCUCUGCGAUUGUUACUGCCGGGUCAGCCGGAUGUGUACCUCAGACUGAGUGAAGUCGAAAGCUAGCGUUCUUAAGAGAAUAUUCGGCCGGUGACCUGAAAGAUGAUUUAUUACUUACUUAUUUAUCUACCCCCAGAUGCUUUUUCUGCUAUUUUCGCAAUCUGGACAUGCACCUUAGGGCAUGCCUCCCAGGGAAAGGAACCCCUAACGGAACUAUUCUCCCUGGAAGAUGUUUCUUACUAACCAUGUAAUAUAAUAUAACUAGUUGGGCACUUGUCUGAUAAAGCACUAAUGACCCCUAUGCCUGGUCUCCAUGCAUGCCCCGGUUUUUUCAUAACCGAGAAGGUAUUCGGACACACUCCGGACUCUAGGGUCCCGAGGUCGAAGCGAAAAGGUCGGCAAAGACAAACGAUCUACAAUCCGGCUAGAAGGCAUUUUACAUGUCAUUUUAAAAUUACAUCGUCAAACUGACUGAUUGUACUCCUCUUCAAUCCCAUCUAAUAGGCUGUCUAAUUUACAGUCCUGUUGGGAAUAUUUCGCGGCCAGCUCUACUUGGUCGUACAUCAAGCUCACAGGGAUCUCCUUCCCAUCAGGCCCCACAGGUCCGACCUCGGCCAUGUGGUUUGGGUCAGCCUUCGGGUACCGCGGCUUCACCAUAGCCCAGGCCUCCCUGGCGCCUUGACGGCAGGCCGAUAUCUUCCACAGACGGAGACGUCGCCGUACUCCCUGAAGCUUCUCAGCAAGCCCUCCAAGGCCCUCAGGUAGGGAGACGGAAGGCCAUAAGGCCUGAACGACACCACUCAUCGCCUGCCGAACACGUUCGAAUAGUUGCACCAGCUCGGGAAGUUGGUCACCCGUUGAACCGGGCAUUUCCUCCGCAGGGCGACCUGUGAGCACACCUAAAGACACAUUUCUGUCAAUCGACUUCCUCGCCGAAUUCUUCUUUUCAAAGGAAUUUGCUCAAGCACUUACUAUAAAUGCCGCGACGAAGCCGCUGAUUCUCCUUCACGGAGCCAGACAGCUGGGCCCGAACAUCUUUCAGCUCUUCUCCUAGCUGGGUGUGGGCAUCUUUGAGCUUGUUCCUCUCCUGCUGCACCUUCAUAAGCACCCUCUCGCCGGCCUUCAGUUGACGCAGUAGCUGUUGCUUGUCCGGAUCUAGUCCGGCGCCCUCUGCAAUAUUAUUGUCAGAUUUACGCACACGCCGCACUUUGUCAACUACUUAUCUUUUCGAAGCACGUAUUACCAGCGGGGGUCUCUAUGGCUCUCCCCGUGGCAGCCAGUGCGGCCUCAAGUUGGGCCUUGCACUCUUGAAGCUCCUGGGACAGGUGGGUAUUCUUCUCCGUAAGAUCCUGCAUAAUAAAUGAUCCUUAAAUCAGUUAUUUUAACUAUUUUAAGUCUCGGGGGCUACUGGCAUAUAUAACUAUUAAAAUUACUUACCCGUAUGUCCUUCACAUACUGCUCCACCAUCUUGAGCGGCACAGAGGUGCGCGUCUCCCGCAUCAAAGGCAUUCAACGCCUCCGGGGAGAAACACGCAUCACGAAGAAUUGUCUGGCGACGCGUGUGAUUCAUGGCGCUCUCCACCUCAGACGGGGUGGCGGACAGCCUGUCGGCAUCCUCCGUCGAAGGAACAUCCGGCUCGUGCCUUGUAUUCGCCUCCCCUUCCGGACCACGCGUUGGAGCAUGGCUGGCGGAGGCUUGAUUGGCAACCUCUCCGGACACUGUCCGGCGAGCGCUCUUUCUACUGGAAAGGUUAUGAGCAUUAAUAUACCUCCUAGGGAUCCUUCCCUUAAAAACAACAGUGCGCCGUACCGUUGCGGCAAUGUUUUGGUUCGCGUCGCACUCCUCUUCUGCCUGCUGGGCCGAACUGACCCUUGCUGGUCAGCCGCCGCGGAUUCGGCUUCCCGCCUUAAAGGCACCUCCUGCGAUGCACCAUCAGUACAGGAUGGUCAGAAUUGAGCAUGGAUCAAAUGAUGGUGCCAAGACCUCGGUCGUAGUCACCUGGGAAGCCGGAAACAAACCGGGGUAGUCAGCCGUAAUGGCGACUAGAGCGUUGUCCAUGCUAAGUUGGUGGAACACCCCGUCAAUCAGCUCCACCUUUAUGUCCGGAUCCUCUUCGGAGGCCGGAUCAAGGGAUCGUUCCGGAUCCCCGGGCUGUGGAGUUAGGCUUUGUAUGCCCUCCAUGUCCCGGCGUAGCUCCUGCAUCGAAAUCAUAAAGUAAAAUACUUGACUUUGGAAGUAUGGAUUGGGUAGAUAAAGGUCCACUUACCCAGCUCCGAGGGUUAUUCAUGGAGAAUCCAUUUAAUGGACUCGUGCGGAGGAAGUCCUGCUCCUCCCCCUUGUACAAGCCGGACAGGAUCUUUACCAGAUCGGCUGCCGAGCCCGGCCCUCUGCGGCCAUGACGGGUGGCAUCAUCUUCCCCGUUGAAAUCCCACAUAGGGUGGCCCCUAUAUUGGAGCGACUGCACCCCCCGCAUAAUACAUGUGGCCAUGGUUCCAAUCAUGGUCAAUCCGGAGUGGGCCAGUAACCUAAUCCGGCCCAUCAGAUAAUGGACACUCCCAUCAUCCUCCCGUUGGGGGCUCCGCGGGCGCCAGCUCGGGCGUUUCUUCAAGGGAGCAUUGCUGAACUCCGGGAGGCCGAUCCGAACUGGAUCCGGCAGAGGGGCGUCCUCCAUGUAGAACCAUUCCGAAGGCCAGUCUUCGGACGCCUUCUUCGGGGUGCCGGAUAGAUAUCCGGUCCCGGCGAUGCGCCAUAUUUCGGCUCCGCCCACUUGAUAUAUCGACCCCUCAUGAGAACAGGGUACGAGGCAAAACAAUCUCUUCCACAACGCAAAAUGGGGCUCGAUGCCCAAGAACAGCUCGCAAAGAGCUACAAAGCCCGCGAUGUGCAAAAUGGAGGCGGGUGUGAGGUGGUGAAGCUGGAGUCCGUAGAACUCCAGGAGCCCCCGGAGAAACGGGUGUAUGGGACACGUGGAAGAGGGCCAUUAUUGGGCGUAGAGGCCAAGGAGCGCAACAUUUAUAAGGAAGCCAGACACUAUUCGACAGGAGCAUGAAGUUUGAAGGAGAACCCGCCUUGCAAACACCGAAGACAAUUUACGCGCUGGAUUUGUCAUCAUUGAAGCCUGGUUCGGGGGCUACUGAGGGAGUCCUGGACUAGGGGGUGUCUGGACAGCCGAACUAUCAUGAUCGGCCGGACUCCAAGACUAUGAAGAUACAAGAUUGAAGACUUCGUCCCGUGUCCGGAUGGGACUUUCCUUGGCGUGGAAGGCAAGCUUGGCGAUACGGAUAUGUAGAUCUCCUACCAUUGUAACCGACUUUGUGUAACCCUAGCCCUCUCCGAGGUCUAUAUAAACCGGAUGGCUUUAGUCCAUAGGACGAACAACAAAUCAUACCAUAGGCUAGCUUCUAGGGUUAGCCUCCUUGAUCUCGUGGUAGAUCCACUCUUGUAACACACAUCAUCAAUAUUAAUCAAGCAGGACGUAGGGUUUUACCUCCAUCAAGAGGGCCCAAACCUGGGUAAAACAUUGUGUCCCUUGUCUCCUGUUACCAUCCGCCUAGACGCACAGUUCGGGACCCCCUACCCGAGAUCCGCCGGUUUUGACACCGACAAUGGUGUUGGUGAUGUGAUCCGCGCAGGGCUUCGCCUAAGCACUAUGAUGAUACUAUCAGAGGAGUAAACUAUGGAGGGGGGGACCGCACACGGCUAAGGGAAUAACUGAUGUGCCUUCGGGGUGCCCCCCGCCCCCGUAUAUAAAGGAGGAGGGGAGCAGGCGGCCGGCCUGGAGGGGCGCGCCAUGGGGGUGGGGGGGCGAGUCCUACUAGGACUCGACUCCUAGUAGGAUUCGCCCUCCCUUUUUUUCCUUCUUUCCGGAGGGGAAAAGGGGAAGGGAGAGGGAACCGGAGAAGGAAAGGGGGGUGCGCCCCCUCCCCUAGUCCAAUUUGGACUCCCUAUGGUAGGGGGGUGCUGCCACCCCUUGUGGGCUGCUUCCCCUAUCUCCUAUGGCCCAUAUUGGCCCAUUACUUCCCCGGGGGGUUCCGGUAACCUCCCGGUACUUCGAAAAAUAUCUGAAACUUCCCGAAACCAUUUUGGUGUCCGAAUGUAAUCUUCCAAUGUAUCAAUCUUCACCUCUCAACCAUUUCGAGACUCCUCGUCAUGUCUGUGAUCUUAUCUAGGACUCCGAACAAUCUUUGGUCACCAAAACACAUAACUCAUAUAAUACCAAUCGUCAUCGAAUGUUAAGCGUGCGGACCCUACAGGUUCGAGAACUAUGUAGACAUGAUCGAGACACCUCUCCGGUAAAUAACCAAUAGCGGAACCUGGAUGCUCAUAUUGGUUCCCACAUAUUCUACGAAGAUCUUUAUCGGUUGAACCGCAAUGUCAAUAUAGUUAUUCCCUUUGUUAUCGAUAUGUUACUUGCUCGAGAUUCGAUCGUCGGUAUCUUCAUACCUAGUUCAAUCUUGUUACCGGCAAGUCUCUUUACUCAUUCCAUAAUGCAUCAUCCCGCAACUAACUGAUUAGUCACAUUGCUUGCAAGGCUUCAUGUGAUGUGCAUUACUGAGAGGGCCCAAAGAUACCUCUCUGAUACUCGGAGUGACAAAUCCUAAUCUCGAUCUAUGCCAACCCAACAAACACCUUCGGUGAUACCUGUAGAGCAUAUUUAUAAUAACCCAGUUACGUUGUGACGUUUGAUAGCACACAAGGUAUUCCUCUGGUGUCCGGGAGUUGCAUAAUAUCAUAGUUGGAGGUAUAUAUAUUUGACACAAAGAAAGCAAUUGCAUAAUCUCAUAAUCCCUUCUUGAAACUAGUGGUCUUGUUAACCAUCAACACUUGAUGCUCCUUCUUGAUUUCUACCUCUGCGGCCUUUAGCAUCGCGAAGAGCUCGGGAAUAGUCUUUUCCAUCCCUUGCAUAUUGUAGUUCAUCACGAAGCCUUUGUAGCUUGGUGGAAGUGAUUGAAGAACUCUGUCAAUGACACAAUCAUCUGGAAAAUUAACUCCCAGCUGAGUCAAGUGAUUAUGGUACCCAGACAUUCUGAGUAUAUGCUCACUAACAGAACUGUUCUUCUCCAUCUUGUAGCUAUAGAACUUGUUGAAGACCUCAUAUCUCUCAACUCAGGCAUUUGCUUGAAAUAUCAACUUCUUCUCCUGGAACAUCUCAUGUGGUCCAUGACGUUCAAAACGUCUUUGAAGUCCCGAUUAUAAGCCGUAAAGCAUGGCACACUGAACUAAUGAGUAGUCAUCAGAUUGAGCUUGCUAGGCAUUCACAACGUCAGCUUCUACUCCUGCAGCAGGCGUUGCACCGAGUGGUGCAUCAAGGACAUAAUUCUUCUAUGCAGCAAUGAGGAUAAUCCUAAAGUUAUGGACCCAGUCCGUGUUGUUGUUUCCAUCAUCUUUCAACUUAGCUUUCUCUGGGAAUGCAUUAAAAUUCAAAGGAACGGUAGCACGGGCCAUUGAUCUACAACAUAGAUAUGCAAAAAACUAUCAGGACUAAGUUCAUGAUAAAUUAAGUUCAAUUAAUCACAUUACUUCAGAACUCCCACUUAGAUAGACAUCCCUCUUGUCAUCUAAAUGUUACGUGAUCCAAAUCAACUGAACCAUGUCCAAUCAUCACGUGAGAUGGAGUAGUCUUCAAUGGUGAACAUCACAAUGUUGAUCAUAUCUACUAUAUGAUUCACGUUCGACCUUUCGGUCUCCAGUGUUCCGAGGCUAUAUCUGUAUAUGCUAGGCUCGUCAAGUUUAACCCGAGUAUUCCGCGUGUGCAAAUCUGGCUUGCACCCAUUGUAUUUGAACGUAGAGCCUAUCACACCCGAUCAUCACGUGGUGUCUCAGCACGAAGAACUUUCACAACGGUGCAUACUCGGGGAGAACACUUAUACCUUGAAAUUUAGUAAGGGAUCAUCUUAUAAUGCUACCGUCGUACUAAGCAAAAUAAGAUGCAUAAAAGAUAAACAUCACAUGCAAUCAAAAUAUGUGGCAUGAUAUGGCCAUCAUCAUCCUGUGCUCAUGAUCUCCAUCAUCGAAGCAACGUCAUGAUCUCCAUCGUCACCGGCUUGACACCUUGAUCUCCAUCAUAGCGUUGUGGUCAUCUCGCCAACCAUUGCUUCUACGACUAUCGCUACCGCUUAGUGAUAAAGUAAAGAAAUUACAUACCGCUUGUAUUUUAUACAAUAAAGCGACAACCAUUUGGCUCCUUCCAGUUGCCGAUAACUUCUACAAAACAUGAUCAUCUCAUACAACAAUAUUUAUAUCACAUCAUGUCUUGACCAUAUCACAUCACAACAUGCCCUGCAAAAACAAGUUAGACGUCCUCUACUUUGUUUGUUGCAAGUUUUACGUGGCCGCUACGGGCUUCUAGCAUGAACCGUACAUACCUACGACACAAAAACCACAAGGUGAUUUAUCAAGUUUGUUGUUUUAACCUUCAUAAGGACCUGCCACAGUCAAAUUCGAUUCAACUAAAGUUGGAGAAACAUACACCCGCCAGCCACCUUUAUGCAAAACUACUUGCAUGUCUGUCGGUGGAACCGGUCUCAUAAACUCGGUCAUGUAAGGUUGGUCUGGGCCGCUUCAUCCAUCAAUACCGCCGAAUAAAAAUAAUACAUUGGUGGUAAGAAGUAUGAUGAUCACCGCCCACAAUUCUUUGUGUUCAACUCAUGCAUAUCAUCUACGCAUAGACCUGGCUCUGAUGCCACUGUUGUGAAACAUAGCAUGCAAUUUCAAAAAAAUUCCUAUGCUCACGCAAGAUCUAUCUAGGAGAUGCAUAUCAACGAGAGGGGGAGAGUGUGUCCACGUACCCUCGUAGACCAAAAGUGGAAGCGUUAACUUAAUGCAGUUGAUAUAGUCGAACGUCUUCUCGAGUCAACCAAUCAAGUACUGAAUGUACGGCACCUCCGAGUUCUACACACGUUCAGCUCGAUGACGUCCCUCGAACUCUUGAUCCAACAGAGUCCGUCAGCAUGAUGGCGUGAUGACGGUGUUGGUGAUGUGAUUCGUGCAGGGCUUCGCCUAAGCACUACGAUGAUACUAUCGGAGGAGUAACCUAUCGAGGGGGGCACCGCACAAGGCUAAGAGAAUAACUGUUAUGCCUUUGGGGUGCCCCCACCCCCGUAUAUAAAGGAGGAGGGGAGGAGGCGGCCGGCCUAGAGGGGCGCGCCAUGGGGGGAGUCNNNNNNNNNNNNNNNNNNNNNNNNNNNNNNNNNNNNNNNNNNNNNNNNNNNNNNNNNNNNNNNNNNNNNNNNNNNNNNNNNNNNNNNNNNNNNNNNNNNNNNNNNNNNNNNNNNNNNNNNNNNNNNNNNNNNNNNNNNNNNNNNNNNNNNNNNNNNNNNNNNNNNNNNNNNNNNNNNNNNNNNNNNNNNNNNNNNNNNNNNNNNNNNNNNNNNNNNNNNNNNNNNNNNNNNNNNNNNNNNNNNNNNNNNNNNNNNNNNNNNNNNNNNNNNNNNNNCCCCCCCCCCCCUUUUCCUUCUUUCCGGAGGGGAAAGGGGAAGGGAGAGGGAACCGGAGAAGGAAAGGGGGGCACGCCCCUCCCCUAGUCCAAUUCGGAAUCCUUAUGGGAGGGGGGUGCGUCCACCCCUUGUAGGCUGUCUCCCAUAUCCCCUAUGGCACAUUACUUCCCCGGGGGUUCCGGUAACCUCCCGGUACUCCAAAAAAUAUCCAAAACUUCCCGAAACCAUUCUGGUAUCCGAAUGUAACCUUUCAAUAUAUCAAUCUUCACCCCUCGACCAUUUCGAGACUCCUCGUCAUGUCCGUGAUCUUAUCCGGGACUCCAAACAACCUUCGUUCACCAAAACACAUAACUCAUAUAAUACCAAUCGUUAUCGACCGUUAAGCGUGCGGACCCUAUGGGUUUGAGAACUAUGUAGACAUGACUGAGAUACCUUUCCGGUCAAUAACCAAUAGCGGAACCUGGAUGCUCAUAUUGGUUCCCACAUAUUCUACGAAGAUCUUUAUCGGCCGAACCGCAAUGUCAAUAUAGUUAUUCCCUUAGUCGGUAUCUUCAUACCUAGUUCAAUCUCGUUACCGGCAAGUCUCUUUACUCGUUCCGUAGUGCAUCAUCCCGCAACUAACUCAUUAGUCACAUUGCUUGCAAGGCUUCAUGUGAUGUGCAUUACCGAGAGGGCCCAGAGAUUCCUCUCCGAUACUCGGAGUGACAAAUCCUAAUCUUGAUCUAUGCCAACCCAACAAACACCUUCGGAGAUACCUAUAGAUAAUCUUUAUAAUCACCAAGUUACGUUGUGACGUUUGAUAGAUAGCACACAAGGUAUUCCUCCGGUAUCCGGGAGUUGCAUAAUCUCAUAGUCGGAGGAAUAUAUAUAUAUAUAUAUAUAUAUAUAUAUAUAUAUAUAUACAUACAUAUACAUAUAUAUAUAUAGGACAAAGCUAUUCUGUUACUAGUAACAGAAUAAUAUUCUGUUACCCCUGGCCCUAUAUAGGAGCCGAAUGGAUAAAAAAGCACACAUCUAGCCCAGCCUAAUCCGCACCUCCCUCCGACGAACCCUGCUGUCACGCCCAAUAUGCGACCCUAUCCAAAAGGAACUCGAAGGUCCCACCAAGGAUAGACCCGCAUAUUGGAACGCUUUUGCAAGGUGGAUAUCAUUACAUCAACAUUACAUAAUAGAUGGGGAUACAUACAAUACAUACAAAGUCACAUGAAUACAACAAUACAACAUACAAGAACAACAUCCGACUAUGGACGAAACACAAAUAGAAACUCAAACGACAUCCACCCUGCUAGCCCAGGCUGCCGACCUGGAACCUAUCCCCUGAUCAAAGAAGAAGCAGAAGAAGAACUCAACGCAAAGCAAGCAUCGCUCUCCGCGUCAUGAUCAUCGCAUAACCUGUACCUGCAACUAUUGUUGUAGUAAUCUGUGAGCCACGAGGACUCAGCAAUCCCAUUACCAUGGGUAUCAAGACUAGCAAAGCUUAAUGGGAAAGGAAGGGGUAAAGUGGUGAGGUUGCAGCAGCGACUAAGCAUAUGUGGUGGCUAACAUACGCAAAUAAGAGCGAGAAGAGAGCAAAUGGAACGGUCGUCAACUAGUAAUGAUCAAGAGGUGAUCCUGAACACCUACUUACGUCAAACAUAACCCAGAAACCGUGUUCACUUCCCGGACUCCGCCGAGAAGAGACCAUCACGGCUACACAAGUGGUUGAUGCAUUUUAAUUCGGAUCUGGUGUCAAGUUAUCUACAACCGGACAUUAACAAAUUCCCAUCUGCCUAUUACCGCAGGCACGACUUUCGAAAGAUUAUACCCUGCAGGGGUGUCCCAACUUAGCCCAUGACAAGCUCUCGCGAUCAACGAAGGAAUAGACCUUCUCCCAGGAAGACCCGAUCAGACUCGGAAUCCCGGUUUACAAGACAUUUCGACAAUGGUAAAACAAGACCAGCAAGACCGCCCGAUGCGCCGACAAUCCCGAUAGGAGCUGCACAUAUCUCGUUCUCAGGGCUACACCGGAUGAACACUACGUACAACUAAAACCAACCCUCAAGUUGCCCCGAGGUGGCGCUGCAAGUGGCUCUGGUUUGGACCAACACUUAGACAAGCACUGGCCCGGGGGGGCUGAAUAAAGAUGACCCUUGGGUUAAUUACUCCCAAGGGAAAUAUAGGUGGUGGUGAGGCAAAUGGUAAAACCAAGGUUGGGCCUUGCUGGAGGAGUUUUAUUCAAAGCGAACUGUCAAGGGGGUCCCAUAAAUCACCCGACCGCGUAAGGAACGCAAAAUCCGGGAACAUAACACCGGUAUGA
rnacentral:lncRNA from 1 species